UGUGAGAAAAUGGAGGAGAUAAUAGGAACAACAGAUGAAGAAAGCAUCACCUCUAAUUCCAUCACGGAAUUCAUUCUCCCGAAGUUAAGAACUCUGGAAUUGUUGGGUUUACCAGAACUGAAAAGCAUUUGCAGUGCAAAACUGAUUUGCAAUGCUCUUGAAGAUAUUUGUGUAAUUGAUUGUAAGGAGCUGAAGAGGAUGCCAAUUUGUCUUCCGUUGCUUGAAAAUGGCCAGCCAUCUCCUCCCCCUUCUCUUAAAAAUAUCCUAGCAAGUCCAAGACAAUGGUGGGAGUCAGUAGUGGAGUGGGAGCAUCCUAACGCAAAGGAUGUCCUUCGUCCCUUUAUACCUUUUUUGUAACUCGGAUGAUAAAUAAUUAUAAUUUGAAGUUUGAUUAAUAUUAUAUUUUCAUCCUAUUGAGUUUCUCCGAGAUAAAAAUCCAAAAAAUAAAAAAAAUACUAUAUUGAUUUAUCAUUAAAGUAACCUAAUAAAAUAAUAGAUCUAUUCAGUAUUAUAAAUUAUCUUAUAUCAUUAACUAGCAAUAAAUUAUUUUUAAAAAAUAUAUAAUACAGAUUAAAAAUAAAAAGAGAGAGAAGACACAUUCUUGAAUUCUGGUCGAUCCAAAUCACAACAAACAUCGUAAACAAGUCAAAAGUAAAAAGUAUUCAUCGCCGGUGAAAUGGAAGCUGAAGACAUCGUAAAUUUCAGUGCUCUAUUGAGAGGGCCUAGAAAGUAAUCUUCUACCUCAGUGAAUUUGAGUACAACUACUGCACACAAGAUGUAGCACUCUUCCCCUUUCCAACCUUGCUUAAGAUGAAAGCAAAAAAAAAAUCACAAUUUUUUUUUGGAAAAAGAUAAAAAGUUAUUGGUCGACAACUUUCCGGCAACAAAAAUACGUUUUCUCACAAUGAAAAACUGGUGCAGAUUGGAUAGCAAAUCAAGUUUCAUAGUAGAUGUUGAAGUUUUCCACUGCACUGAAUCUCCCUCCGGUUGUUUGAAGCUAAAGCUUGAUUGCGUUCCUGGGAUUAAUGUAGUUUAUGGGUUCAGUAAUGUUUUUUCUAUUAAAUGGAUUAAUUGUUUGAUUAUAUUUAGAUAAUUUAUUUAUCUGUAUUAAUUUAAUUUCUUUUAAUAUAAUAUUGAUUUGAUAAAAAGAACUCCUAAAGCAUGUACGUGGCUGCCCAAAAAAUCCUAAAGUUUACUCAAUUAGAAAGGAUCAUGGUACUUAUUGCCAAGAUUGUUAUGCCUGCAAUUAAAACAUAAUUUGUUUUUGUACUCAGAAUUAUGUUGGAGUGCAUUUAAAAAUCUGUUUAUUUUAAAAAAAUAUUAAAUUAAUAUUUUAAUGUUAAAAAUAAUUUUUUUUUUUAUUACUGAAUCUCCACCCACCUUAAAUCCAUGUAUUAUGAAGAGGGAAAAAAAAGGGUUUUUUCUUCUCUUUUUCCUCAAUGGAACACAUGACAUCAAAAGCUAUAAGCAUUCUCCAUCUGCGUGUAUAUUCAGGGGCGGAGUUAGAAUUUUUUAAAUAAAAAGAUAAAUUACUAACAAAUAUUUGAUAUUAUAUGUUAUCCAUACAUGUGUUAUAUAUAGAAAUUAAUUUGAAAUAUAUAUACCAACUCAAGUCAAGCAAAAUUAAUUUAAGAAUACUUUUAAAAUGAAAAAAAUUAUAUUAUAAUUGUUCUCUUCGAGAUUUUAUAUUUUAAAACUACUUUGUAAUUAUUUUAUUUUUAAUCUCAUUAAAAAUAUAUUUCUCAAUAUAUACAAUAAAUUUUCAUUUAUUUAUUUCUAAAUCUUCUAAGGACUAGGAAAGUUCUUGGCAACAAUUCUAUGCUGACAUAUGAUACAUAAUAUCUAAAAUCAUAGCUUAAAAGGAUUGUCACAAAUUGAUGUUGUUCUUGCUGGCUUGUUGUUUUGUACAAGUGGAUUAAACAUAAAUAUUAAAUAUAUAUUUUUUAAUUUAUUUAUAAUUAUAUCCCUAAUUUUUUUGGUUGUCCUGUACUUUAUUUUUAAUCAUUAGUAAAUUCAUUAUCAUCAUUUUUCAUAUGAAAUUCAUAACAAAACACUUUUUAAUUCAUCAAAAUUCAUAUCAUAUAAUAUUACCCAUACACAUUAAUUCAACAAACCCAUAAAUUAUUAUAAACUCUAACAUUUUCAAUAACUAAUUAUAAAAAAAUAAAACUAAAAUUAGAUAAUGAAACAAAUAGAAAAGAUGAAGGAAAUUUUCCUAAAGUAUAAAGUAUAAGAGGUUACUUGCUUAACUAAUUAAUAGCUUAAGGCUUGAAGAGAAAUUUUAUAAAAGGAAAAGAGCUAGGAUCAAUAGUGAAAAAAGAACAAAGAGCUUGGAUCAAUUAGUUGCUAACAAAAAAAAAAAUUUAACCUUGUAAAGCUAUUGUAUUAAUAUUUUAAUAUAACAAACUGAUUACAAAUGACUAACUCCUAACUUACAAUUUUUUAUAAGCCGAUAGAGUUAUAUUUUUAUCCAGCUUGGACUUAUGCGAUCUCGGCUGCUAUUCUUAAAGUUUCAUUUUAUUUAAUGGAAGUUUUUGUUUAGACAACCUUUACUGAAAGGUGAAUGUAAAAUAGCAGCUAUGAGCAAGACGAGCUGCACAUCAAACCUAUACUAAAGCCUGAAAAGUUGAAUUUUAAUAUGAUGCAAAAGUUAAUAGCAACUAUGAGCAAGACGAACUGCACAUCGAACCUGUACUAAAGCUGGUAAAGUUGAAUUUCAAUAUGCUACAAAAGUUGUACAAGGAGGAGCUGAGAAAUCUUUCUAAGUAAUUAUUAUAGGCAAAAUUAUUAGAGAAGAAUAAGAAUUAUUUAACCAGAUAGAAAAUAUAGGGGGUUGCUCCCUCUUCCCCUGUAUGGUUCCGCCACUGUGUAUAUUAUACUAUAUGAAAAGCUACAAGCAUUCACGAUUUCUUGGGAUAGAAAGAAAGUUGGAAUAACUUAUAUUUGGAUUUUUCUUGGGAUUAAUUUCUUGCUCCAUCUGCGUUGCGGCCUAUGUUUGGAAUCCAAAAUUAUUAUUAUUUGUGCUUUGUACAUCAAAUAUAUAUAUAUAUAUAUAUAUAUAUAUAUAUAUAUAUAUUCUUUUAAGUUAUGUAACGUCAUUGUUAUUGUAGGAACAUUACUAUUAUUUAAGUAUUAUCGAAGUGUGAAACCCCUGGAAAUUUAUAAUUUAAAUAUGUAGAUGUGUAAACCCUCAUGUAAACGUAAGACUGAAAGUGGUAAUAUUUCAAUGAGUGAUGGAAACCAAGAUUAGAAAUAAUAGAUAAAUAAUGAUAUAUAAUGGAAGAGAUGACCUUCAUAAAAUGAAUUUUGGUUUAGAAUUCAUAAGGACAGAGAAACUGGUAACAUGUUUUGAUGGAUGAAAUAAUGAGAAAAAUGACAAAAUAUUUUUAGGACAUAAGUGAGUUAAUAAAGAAUAGUACAAUGAAAAGGGUAGGACUGAAGGUGCAAGCACCGCUUAAAAAUCAGUGAUGUUAUUUUGAAAUGAUAAUAAGCCGAUAAAUAAAUAAAGGUGGAAAUCCUAAAAUGAAUACAUUCCAAAAUAAUUAAACGACCUUAGAGGUUUAGAAUGAUAAUUGAUAUGAUUUUUUUUGUGAAGAUUGAACAAGAAAAAUCUAGAUUGUUUAUAAAAAGUUAUGAACUGACCAAUUUUACAUUAGAAAGCAGAGCUCUCAAUCCAAUCGUCGGAUCGGGAUGAAAUUUUGUAUGAAGUCUAUUAAUAUGUUUUCCCACCUUGGUUAAAUAUCUCAUUCCAAUCGGAGUUUGGUAAAGACUAGCAAUUUAAAUAGAAAUAAACCAGAUAGUUUACAUGAAAAAUAAAAUAAAAUACAUAAAAGCAUGAAAGAGGGACAAAAUUGUAAUUAUGAAAAAAGGUGCCUAUAAAAAUGCAAAGAGGCCACCAGUUUAAAGAAAAAAAAAGAAAAAAAAAGAAAAGAGAUAGAGAAAAGUGGAUAAGGGGAGAGAGCUGCAGAUUUUGGAGAAAAUCAAUAAUGCUCCGGUGGCCAUAUCUCUGGAAUCCACCGUUGAAUCAUGCUGAUUUUUGGAUAUAUGUUGUUCUCAUUACACUCCUCUACUAACUGAACGGAGCGAUUGGACAGAACAUAAUCCGUACAACUCUAUGAUAUGUAGUCUGACCGUUGGGUUUGAAACAAUAUUUAGAGGUUGAUGACUUAUUUCCUUUUGAAUCUAUUGCUAGUUUUGGCAAAAUGUAGUAAUCUUGAUUAAAUACAUGUUUUGAUGAAAUUAGAAUUGUGUGAGUGUAGGUUUUGUGGAAGAUGUAAUGGUAAAAUAUGUUCUUGUUAUUAGUAUUAUUAUAGAUUAAUUGUGUAUUCUUUAUAUGAGGGGAAGAAUGAUUAUUGUGUAAGAAUAGUAAGGAACAUUGCUAUAUGAACAUGUUGAUUGAAUAAAACAUGUUGAUUGAAUAGAAAGCUAACUUGUUGUUUGUGUGGAUAUAAAUGGGGUGGAACCAUGAAGAAAUUGAAAUGAAAGAAAUUUGGAAAAUAAAACAUAUUUAAAGCUAGCCAUAAGUGUUUUUAGUAAAUGUUUAGUUAAUGAAGGUUGUCAUGGAUCCCAAUUAGUAGGGUGAAAUUAUUGUUGUGAUAAUGAUCUGAGAAUUAAUUGUUAAGGUUUGCCGCAUAUGUUUAAUCGCACGAGGAGAAAGCAAAAGAAAAUGAAUAGUUCAUCAUUUUGUUGUAUUAAUAAUAAUAAUAAUAGGAGAAAUCUUAAAAGGAAUGAGUUUCCUUAUUUUGGUCUAAUCUUGCUAUAUUGUAGAGGUAGGGAAAUUGUUUGAAUGUUUUGCUUUAGAAUUGGUUUGAAUUUGUGAUUUAAUGAUGCCAAAUGACCUUGGAUGAUGUUUCUUUUGCAUGAAAAUAAGUUGGAAGUUGAAAAAGAUUUCCAAGGAAUGAAAAUCCUCGUUGUCCAAAAUUUUAGCUAUAAAGAAAGGGCUGUUGUGAUUGUUGAUUUUGAGCCUUAAAACAAAAUAAUUUGGAGUUGGUUUCUUCAUAAAAGUUGUAUCUCUAUAUUUAGCCUUUCAUAGAGAUAAAUCACGCCCAAAACUGAGUUUUACAACUUUAAUUAUGAUUAAGACACUAGAUAGUGUUCUGGGUUAGUUAAGCUUAAUUGAUCGGAAUUAGAAAAUUUUUAAUCGUUGCUUGGAAUUGCUGCUGAGUGAUGGUUUUGAUAACAAAAUUAUAAGAAUGAAUAUAAACAUUAAAAUGAGUAAGAGUAUGAGUUCUUAAAGAAAAUUCCUUGUGAUUAGUUUGAGAAUACUAGUUGAAUGAGAAUUAAAAGAAGAUGUGAUGUUGGUUGUAUUGUUGAUAAAAAUUGAAUCCCUGGUGGUACAGGGAAAGCUGUGAGGACUGGACAAUUGCACGGAGUGGCAGCACGUGCACCUAUUCUAGGUAGGUGAUUCAUCACCUUAUUUUGUAAUUAUUAGUUUUUCUUAAAUAUUUGUGUUGUGUGUUUAAUUGAUGUUAAAAGAAUGAAGCAAUGAAUAAGUUUAGUGAUUAUUACAAAUGAGAAUUAUUCGUAAUUUAAGAGAAAUUACCGAAAUUAUUUGGCUAACAAAAGAGGUUAGCCGGGUGCUGGGUAAUUCGUAUGGAAUUACCGGAUUGAUUGUGGCAACCAAGAUGGGUUAGCCAGAUUUCUUGGGUAAUUAAGAGAAUUACCGGGUUUAUUGGUUAACAAGGAAGUUAACUGGAUAUGGGGUAAUUCGUAUGGAAUUACCGGAUUGAUUGGCUAACAAAAGAGGUUAGCUGGAUGAUGGGUAAUUCUUAUGGAAUUACCGGAUUGAUUGGCUAACAAAAGAGGUUAGCUGGAUGAUGGGUAAUUCGUAUGGAAUUACCGGAUUGACUUUGGCAACCAAGAUGGGUUAGCCAGAUUUCUUGAACAAUUAAGAGAAUUACCGGGUUUAUUGGUUAACAAGAAAGUUAAUUGGAUAUAGGGUAAUUCGUAUGGAAUUACAGGAUUGAUUGACUAACAAAAGAAGUCAGCUGGAGGCUGAGUAAUUCGUAUGGAAUUACCAGAUGUAUUGGUAACCGAGGAAGGUUAACCAAAAGUGUGGGUAAUUAUAUAAAAUUACCAGAAUUAUUGGCAAUCGAAAUGAGUUAGCCGGAUAGUUAAGUUUUGAAAAGAUUAUGUAAAUUAAUUGAUUGAAGUUAAAAAUAGUAAAUUCUAAAUGUUAUGAGUAAAAUAAUUAAUAUAUGACGAACAUAUUGAGUAAAUUAAUUAAUGUGGUUAUUGGGUAAACACAAUGACUUGGAGAUUGGAGGGGAAUUGAUAGAUAAUUGGUUACCAUAGUGUUGGUGGCUAAGGAUACAUUACAAUGAUACUUAACACCAUAAUGAUGGUGGGUAAGGGUAUAAAUUGAUACUUGGCACUGUGAUGAGGGCGACCAAGGUUAUGUGAAGGAUGCUUAAUGACUGUAGUGUUGGUAACUAAGAUUGUAAUUUAUGUAAUUUAUUGUGGACAGAUAACAACACUCAAAUCUAAUACAUCAAAUAAUUGAACAAUUCAAUACACAUAUAAUCUAUCUUCAAUAGUAAAUAAAAUCAUUACAAUUUAAAAUACGAUUUAAUUAUUGAAUAAGAUAUAAUAAUAAAAUAGAUGUCGUCGUCACCUCACCCUAUGUAAGAGAUGACUGCUUUUGCACAAAACUCUUCACCUCACCGAUCAACAAAGAAAAUUCAGGCGAUUCAGGUAGGCAAUAAAACCCAUGAAAAACAUUUGGAUACUCUACCAAAUGUACUUCUUUCCCAGAUUUCUUCAGCCCCUCAUGGUACCUCUUCUGCCAAUCUUGCAAGGGAUCGAACCCUCCGACAAAGAGUAACGUAGCAGGGAACUUCACGCCUGAAAUAUCCACCGCAUUUGGUCCGAAAACAUUAACCACCGAGUGGUUUCGGUCCGAUCCCUCAGGCAGAAACGCCUUCCACAUCCAGUCUGUACGUUCCACUGAUAUUAAAGGAACCCCAACAAGCUUGAUUUCUGAUUCUGUCCUUUCUUCCCCUCCGAAAAAUGGCUGCAUUGCUAUGAGUCCCUUGAUCUUUAUGUUAGAAAAUGUGUGUUCACAAGCUUUGAGCACGACGUGAUGAGCCAAGUUACCCCCUGCACUAUCACCUGCUAUAAAACACCUUCCAAGAUCCAAAUUUGCUGGGAAAUUCUCAAAGGUCAUGCCAUCGAUGUAUUUCAACAUCAAAGCCAUCUUCGUACUGGCAUGGGUACUUGUACUCAGGAGCAAGCCGAUAGUUAACAGAGAUAACAACUGCAUUAAUUUCACGUGCAAGUCGCCGGCAGAGUACGUCAAAAGAUUUUGAGUUAGCCGCCAUGAAUGCGAAGCCCCCACCAUGAAAGAAUAUGAUCACAGGCAGAGCAUCCGUAGUGGCGGUGGAUGUGGGGGCGUAGAGGCGGAACCACAGGUUGCGGGUAGGGUCAAUAGUGUUGUCGAAAGAGGAGACCCCAUUGACUGGUUUGGCGGAAGCAGCGGCCUUGGGGUCGAAGAUGUUCAAUACGCUGCGGUUUACGGUGUGGUCGGAACGGCUGGCGGCGCGAAUCCCAAAGGAGUGGGCGGCGAGGAGGAGCCUGGUCUUCAAUGAGAGGCGAAGAGUUCUUGGUGUUUCUGCCAUUAUCAAUUUUGGGUUGAAUUGUAAAUGUUAAGAUAGUUUAUAUACUCACACGAAGAAAGUAAAAUAAAAUAAAAUUGAUAACAACAAUACAAAUUUAGUUUGGUUUUUAUAAAAAAAAUAAUCAAACUAAUUUUUUUUAGGAAAGAACAACAAAGAAAAAAAAUUGAUAAUGGCAGAAACACCAAGAACUCUUCGCCUCUCAUUGAUUUGGAUUUUUCUUGGGGUGGAAUUUCUUGCUCCAUUUGCGUUGCAGCCUAUGUUUUGCAUCCAAGAAUUAUUAUUAUUUGUGCUUUGUACAUCAANNNNNNNNNNNNNNNNNNNNNNNNNNNNNNNNNNNNNNNNNNNNNNNNNNNNNNNNNNNNNNNNNNNNNNNNNNNNNNNNNNNNNNNNNNNNNNNNNNNNNNNNNNNNNNNNNNNNNNNNNNNNNNNNNNNNNNNNNNNNNNNNNNNNNNNNNNNNNNNNNNNNNNNNNNNNNNNNNNNNNNNNNNNNNNNNNNNNNNNNNNNNNNNNNNNNNNNNNNNNNNNNNNNNNNNNNNNNNNNNNNNNNNNNNNNNNNNNNNNNNNNNNNNNNNNNNNNNNNNNNNNNNNNNNNNNNNNNNNNNNNNNNNNNNNNNNNNNNNNNNNNNNNNNNNNNNNNNNNNNNNNNNNNNNNNNNNNNNNNNNNNNNNNNNNNNNNNNNNNNNNNNNNNNNNNNNNNNNNNNNNNNNNNNNNNNNNNNNNNNNNNNNNNNNNNNNNNNNNNNNNNNNNNNNNNNNNNNNNNNNNNNNNNNNNNNNNNNNNNNNNNNNNNNNNNNNNNNNNNNNNNNNNNNNNNNNNNNNNNNNNNNNNNNNNNNNNNNNNNNNNNNNNNNNNNNNNNNNNNNNNNNNNNNNNNNNNNNNNNNNNNNNNNNNNNNNNNNNNNNNNNNNNNNNNNNNNNNNNNNNNNNNNNNNNNNNNNNNNNNNNNNNNNNNNNNNNNNNNNNNNNNNNNNNNNNNNNNNNNNNNNNNNNNNNNNNNNNNNNNNNNNNNNNNNNNNNNNNNNNNNNNNNNNNNNNNNNNNNNNNNNNNNNNNNNNNNNNNNNNNNNNNNNNNNNNNNNNNNNNNNNNNNNNNNNNNNNNNNNNNNNNNNNNNNNNNNNNNNNNNNNNNNNNNNNNNNNNNNNNNNNNNNNNNNNNNNNNNNNNNNNNNNNNNNNNNNNNNNNNNNNNNNNNNNNNNNNNNNNNNNNNNNNNNNNNNNNNNNNNNNNNNNNNNNNNNNNNNNNNNNNNNNNNNNNNNNNNNNNNNNNNNNNNNNNNNNNNNNNNNNNNNNNNNNNNNNNNNNNNNNNNNNNNNNNNNNNNNNNNNNNNNNNNNNNNNNNNNNNNNNNNNNNNNNNNNNNNNNNNNNNNNNNNNNNNNNNNNNNNNNNNNNNNNNNNNNNNNNNNNNNNNNNNNNNNNNNNNNNNNNNNNNNNNNNNNNNNNNNNNNNNNNNNNNNNNNNNNNNNNNNNNNNNNNNNNNNNNNNNNNNNNNNNNNNNNNNNNNNNNNNNNNNNNNNNNNNNNNNNNNNNNNNNNNNNNNNNNNNNNNNNNNNNNNNNNNNNNNNNNNNNNNNNNNNNNNNNNNNNNNNNNNNNNNNNNNNNNNNNNNNNNNNNNNNNNNNNNNNNNNNNNNNNNNNNNNNNNNNNNNNNNNNNNNNNNNNNNNNNNNNNNNNNNNNNNNNNNNNNNNNNNNNNNNNNNNNNNNNNNNNNNNNNNNNNNNNNNNNNNNNNNNNNNNNNNNNNNNNNNNNNNNNNNNNNNNNNNNNNNNNNNNNNNNNNNNNNNNNNNNNNNNNNNNNNNNNNNNNNNNNNNNNNNNNNNNNNNNNNNNNNNNNNNNNNNNNNNNNNNNNNNNNNNNNNNNNNNNNNNNNNNNNNNNNNNNNNNNNNNNNNNNNNNNNNNNNNNNNNNNNNNNNNNNNNNNNNNNNNNNNNNNNNNNNNNNNNNNNNNNNNNNNNNNNNNNNNNNNNNNNNNNNNNNNNNNNNNNNNNNNNNNNNNNNNNNNNNNNNNNNNNNNNNNNNNNNNNNNNNNNNNNNNNNNNNNNNNNNNNNNNNNNNNNNNNNNNNNNNNNNNNNNNNNNNNNNNNNNNNNNNNNNNNNNNNNNNNNNNNNNNNNNNNNNNNNNNNNNNNNNNNNNNNNNNNNNNNNNNNNNNNNNNNNNNNNNNNNNNNNNNNNNNNNNNNNNNNNNNNNNNNNNNNNNNNNNNNNNNNNNNNNNNNNNNNNNNNNNNNNNNNNNNNNNNNNNNNNNNNNNNNNNNNNNNNNNNNNNNNNNNNNNNNNNNNNNNNNNNNNNNNNNNNNNNNNNNNNNNNNNNNNNNNNNNNNNNNNNNNNNNNNNNNNNNNNNNNNNNNNNNNNNNNNNNNNNNNNNNNNNNNNNNNNNNNNNNNNNNNNNNNNNNNNNNNNNNNNNNNNNNNNNNNNNNNNNNNNNNNNNNNNNNNNNNNNNNNNNNNNNNNNNNNNNNNNNNNNNNNNNNNNNNNNNNNNNNNNNNNNNNNNNNNNNNNNNNNNNNNNNNNNNNNNNNNNNNNNNNNNNNNNNNNNNNNNNNNNNNNNNNNNNNNNNNNNNNNNNNNNNNNNNNNNNNNACCAUGCAUCAAGAGAGAAAAAUAGUGUUUUAUCUCAGAUGUUUCUAAACCUUUGAUGCAUUUUGUAAUUUUAGUCAUUGAUUGUUUUGUUUUCCAUUUUAUCAUCAUAGAUUGUGCGCGCUGACUGCUAUGGAGUUCUAACUCUGAUGCAGCAACUUGCUGGGUUGAACUGAGUUCUGUAUUUCCCAAUUAGCAGAGUGCAAUAAACAGCAUUUAGCUUUUUCACUAAUGAGAGGCACACCAACAUAUAUACAAAACUGGAACUCACAGAUUCAGAUCCAUAUCCAUGUCAUCCGCCUUUUGUUUUAAAGAAGAGUUGCCAGCGAGUGGAGAUAGAGACCCUUUUAAUAUCAAAAUAUAAAUUAGUAGUCUUUGGGGUUACUUAAAUUAAAUAUUAGCACAAAAACUAUUGUUAAAAUAUUUUUAUUCUUAAGAAUUUAUGCAAAACAAUUAGAAAACAAAUUCAGGGAUUAAGAACACAAUUAGAAAACUAAUUCAGGGAUCAAAUAUUUUUAUGAAUUAUAAAAUUGACUAUAAACUUAAAAUUCUUGAAUAUACAAUAUAAACUUCUUGAAUCAUAAGAUAAAAACUCAUAUAAAAUUAUAAUUUUGUAAUAAAUAUGAAUUCUUGGAUCACAUAAGCUUGAGACAUGGAUAAUGUUUGGAGCAUUUAAGACCGGACCUCGUUGACUUAAAUUUUAUUUUAUAUUUAUAAUAAGGAAAAGGCACCAUGGGGUUGAAACCUUUUUAUGCUCGGUUGCUGGCAUUUGGGACCAUGUAUCAAGAGAGAAAAAUAGUGUAUUAUCUCAGGUUUUUUCUAAGCCUUGGAUGCAUUUUUUUAAUUUUAAUCAUUGAUUGUUUUGUUUUCAAUUUUAUCUUCAUAGAUUGUGCUGACUGCUAUGUAGUUUUUACACUGAUGCAGCAGCUUGCUGGGUUGAACUGAGUUCUGUAUUUCCCAAUUAGCAGAGUGCAAUAAACAGCAUUUAGCUUUUUCGCUAAUGAGAAGCAUGCCAAGAUAUAUACAAAACUGGAACUCAUAGAUUCUGUAUAAUUUCUAAGCCAUAUCCAUGUCAUAGAGGCAAAAAAGCACUCACACUUUGCAGGAUUAUGCCUUACAAUAACCAUAUACGCCUUUUGUUUUAAAGAAGAAUUUAUGCUCAGAAGAACGUUGCUGCCACCUCGAAUCCGUACCCAUAACAAAGCGUGGGCAACGAAACUAGUUGUAAAACCAAAACGAAUAGGACGCUUACUGCUCAGGAAUCAUUGUGGAAAUACUAACUAGGAAAAGCAGUUUUUGUACCUUUUUAGUGUUGGGAAAUCCGAUCGGGGAUGUACUGAUAAUUGCUCAAAGGAGGGAGGGGAAGCACACUUGGACACAAUAUUUAACGUGGUUCGGCAAAACCGCCUACAUCCACGGGAGAAGUCAAUAUUAUUAGAGAUGGAUAGAGAAAGGGUUACAACACACAUAGAGGAGGAGGCUCACUUCACUCAAACUCAAUUCACUCAAACUCAACUCUCAUUGCUCUCACACACUGCUGCACAAGGCAGCAGGGCUGCUGCCCUUGGCAGCUACUCCCUCUUUCUCUUCUCACGUAUAUCUCUCUUGUUCUCUUCCACCCUCUCUUACUCUUUUGCUCUCUCACGUAUGCCUAUAAAUAGGCAAGUAUGGUGGCUUCUCUUCUUCAAAAAACAGCAGCUGCACAUGGGUUGAUACAUUUGUCAAUGGUGGGUGCAACUACCAUUGACAAAUGGUAACCCUACUCCUUAGGGUAGGUUGCCCAAUAAUGGCAAAUCCCAACAAUCACCCCCUUUGACAUUUAUAUGGGCAAUUGUCCUCUUGCUUCUUCAGCACAAACUUGUAUCUUGCAGCUCUUCCAAGCUUACCAUUCCGAGAGCGUCUGUGGCCAAGUUUACAGGUACUCGCCAAACCUUUCAAUCACCAGAGUCACCAAAGCACACCUUUUCUCACACAAAAGGAUCACUACAACCAGAUGGUCUGUCACUUCACAUCUGAAGAGUGUUAACGCUUGUCUCUGGGACACACUGCAUUCCCCUUCGAGCGUAUCAACCAUGCUCGGUCCGGAAUGAUUCAUCAAGCCUCACACCAAGGCUUAUAACACCCCCUCAAACGGAUAUUCCAAGUGCGACAAUCAUUAUCUGAGUAUCUCAAUAUGAUCACGAGCUCACCACUCUUCCAAGAGUCUACUCAUCCAGGAGUUGCGUCUGCCCUCUGUUCCACCCUAGGAACCACGCCUUACUUCUCCGUGAGUCUCUCGCUCUUAGUCUCAAGAGUCCAGGUAGCUUUCCACCUUUACCUAUGGGGGUAGCCCAUUAAAGGUUGAUCCAUAUAUGUCUUGAUACUUAUCAUAGCCACUUCAUUGGCUAUCCAUACACCUGUCCACUUGUAUCCAACCAUCACAUUGGCUUUGGGGUUGUUCUGAACUUGGGCUCCUAUCGUGGCCCAUACACCUUCUCUAAGGUGUCUUCGCCCGUUAUCAUGGGGCAGUCUGAACUGGGGCUCCGAUCAUGACCCUCACACCUUCUCCAAGGUGUCUUCGCCUUUCAUAGGCGGUCGCAUCCUCCUUCAGCUGAGAUGCUUCAAAGUGGCUCCAAAAAAGUUCUCUACCACCAUGUGCACUAUGGGAGAGAUAACUGCCACUGAUUACAUAGAAAAAGAAACUUGCGGUAUACUCCUCGCAAUCCUCCACCUCGAUUUCUAUGUUUGGAGCUUCUACGUCUUUCUGCUUGACAGUUCCACCUACACCAACUCUCUUUGGUGUCUUCGCCUUUCAUCAUAGGCGGUCGCCUUUUAUCACAGGCGUUUGCACCCCCUCAAUUAGGUGCCUCUGCAACAGCUCUCUUUCCAUCCUUGCAUGCAUUGGAAAGGUCUUCGCAUGUUGUUUUCAUCAAGAGCAUAAGAGACUUCCUGUUGUACAAACUUUAACAGUCUCUGCUCUGAGCUUCAUCUGAGAACACUUCUUCUCCUUGCACCUGUUGUCUCAUUACAGUACCUUGUUGGAUCCUACGGGUACCUCUGCACAAUCUCCGUGUGCCCUCGUGCAAUUUCUGUUCUCCAGAUUUCUCCCUAUUCCUUGCUUAUGUUUGACAGCAGCUCAUCCUGUCACAACACCUGUCCAAGUCAAAAUAGGGUGCCAAUCUUUAUCCCCUUGUUGUAUUUCUCUUCCAUUAUCAAGGUCUUCAUCAAUUCUCCCUUCGAGAAAUCACAGUCACCGAAUCUAACUUCUUUGGAGAAAUCACCACUUUAUCAGAUCCUUGAUCAUACGGAACCCAACUGUUCCCUUGUGUCGUCAUCCUGCUAGUCUUCAACCGUUUCAUUACAAACUGCUAUAUAUAUGAAAAUAGUACCGUAUGGAUAAUCCUUCCACUAAGCAAGUUCCCAGGAAAGAUUGGAGGGGUCACACUGGUCCCGCUUAAAACCCAACCUCCUAGACAGAACUUCUUAGGCCAUAUCUAUCUAUCGUACUGUCUUUCCGUAUAUACAACCAUUUGCUAGCUUUGUUGCGGCUUUCCUUUACAAGUGAUCUGGAAUAUACUGGUUUAAUACAUCAUUUCUCAACAUCUGGCGAGACUACCAGUUCUUAGAUUCGUCAAGAUUGGUCUUCAUCAAUUUCCACUCUUCACCUCAAAUCGUCCACAUGAUCGGGUGUCCAGAGUGUCCCAAUUUUUCCUUCCUUCAAGACAGUUAAAAUUCUUCCCACUUAGCAGUUCAGCACAUGUAAUUGGGUAAACAUGUGCACCUUCUUCCUCUUCAUCUCCAUCGACCACCAUGAUGACCUUCAGAUGCCUCCUGAUCGGGCAAUCUUUUUUGUUAAUUCACCACUGCCAUUUUUUGGUCUCAAAUCUCAACGAUCGGACCGUACCAUUGCAUCCGGAACGCUCAAAUUAGCUGGAAACAAGUCUGAAAUCGUCCAAAUCGCACUUCAGACGGCUAACAUUUGAUCAAAACAAUUCUGGCCUGAUCAACGGCUCAGAUUCAAUCUCAGACCCGGUUGCACCUAGGAUCAGCUACACUGGAUCCUGUCCCUCGGCUCUCGGCUCGGCUCGGCUCCAAUUCGGCUAGGCUCACUCGGCUCGGCUUGGCUCGACUCGAACUUGAUGACGUGGCUGCUGACUAGUCGUUGACUGGUCUAUGACGUGGCUGCUGACAUGGCAUGCCUACUGUGCAUGAUGACUUCACCAUUACAUCAGGAUGAUGUCAUCAUGGGCCAUGCUACUGUGCAUGAUGAUGUCACAAUUACAUCAUGCUAAUGUCAUCCCUCACAUGUCUACUGUUCAUGAUGACGUCACUUGUACGUCAUGCUGACGUCAUCCUUAUCCGAGUCAGCCACAUGGGUCGGGUCAACUGGUAUUCGGGUCGGGUCAACUCAUCCGGGUGAAGAAGACGCGUGGGGCGCGUCUGCGCGCGUGGACAGACGCCUUGCCGGAGAGUGAUGGAGAGUGCGGCCAUGUCCGACGUCCGAUUUUGACGCCGUUUUCACCGUUGGCUUCGUCGCUUCCUCCUCUACACAGUGGUAUGGUCAAAACACAAUUUUGACAACUUUCAUUUUUGAGCAAAAAUCAAACACCCCUUUAAACCAUCAGCUCUGAUACCAAUUGUUGGGAAUUCCGCCCGGGGAUGUACUGAUAAUUGCUCAAAGGAGGGAGGGGAAGCACACUUGGACACAAUAUUUAACGUGGUUCGGCAAAACCGCCUACAUCCACGGGAGAAGUCAAUAUUAUUAGAGAUGGAUAGAGAAAGGGUUACAACACACAUAGAGGAGGAGGCUCACUUCACUCAAACUCAAUUCACUCAAACUCAACUCUCAUUGCUCUCACACACUGCUGCACAAGGCAGCAGGGCUGCUGCCCUUGGCAGCUACUCCCUCUUUCUCUUCUCACGUAUAUCUCUCUUGUUCUCUUCCACCCUCUCUUACUCUUUUGCUCUCUCACGUAUGCCUAUAAAUAGGCAAGUAUGGUGGCUUCUCUUCUUCAAAAAACAGCAGCUGCACAUGGGUUGAUACAUUUGUCAAUGGUGGGUGCAACUACCAUUGACAAAUGGUAACCCUACUCCUUAGGGUAGGUUGCCCAAUAAUGGCAAAUCCCAACAUCUAGGAGCGAUCAAACUUGUGUUUCUGCCUGAUCUCUCAAGCUCAAGGUGUGAACCAAGUAGGUAUUCAUAAGUAAAAUUUCUUAAGUUGUAUAUAAAACGGUAGUUUCAGUAUCCCUAAGCACUUUUUUUUUCUUCUAAUGUUGUUCUUCGUUAAAUUGUAGGGAAUGGAAGUUGGAGUGGAUCAAAUAAUGACGGUCAAUACCUUGCAACAAUCCUUGAAAUUGAUGGGGAAGGAGUGAGAGGCAUUGGCGUCCAAGGACUGAAGAGAGUUUUUGUGUAGAAAUUCAUGGAUAAGAAGAUGACUGUAUAGAUCAAUAUACGACAACGGUUCUACCUUGAUUAUAAGACUCGUUACCAAGUCUUUAAAUUCACCACAAAGACAACAAAACACAUAGAGAUUGAAGUCUUCAAGGGACAAUAGCAGCCAAUUCAUCAAAUAACAAUUUGGCUUGCAGCAUGUAGAUACUUACCGAUGAGUCACCUUGCCAAAGAGCUUGGAAGGAACCAUGGAGUUGCAUGAUGUGAGAAUUGGACAGAGAUGCAAGGGCUUUCUCAAGAGUGUGCCAACAUAAUAUGAGAUAUGACAAUCUACCAUGAGAUGCAACACAUCUACAGAAAGAGAGGAGAGUAAUGCACUCAAAAUAAGUUGUUCAUGUUGCUUCCAACGAAGAAAAGAAGAGCUGAUUGUAGAGGAAGGACCAGCAGAACUGUAAAAAACAUGAGACAGAGGACACGACAUUGAGCCGUUAACGAAGUGAAAAACACCUUGACCAAGGAGAUAGGGCUUCAUCUGCAUUCGCCAAUAGAGAUAAUUUGUAUUAAUAAGUUUCAACAAAAUAACUUGGUGGGUAUUUGAUAAAACAACGAUAGCUGGAGUUUGUGUUCCUAUAAUGUGCAAAAAAACUGUAAAAACUUGCGAGGAGGAGUCAGAGACAUGCUCUGCAAGUGGAGGCUGCUGUUGUGGAGGAAAGACACCAUCGACAACAGCUUGUAGAUGUUUGGUUGGCUGGGCUGCACCACCAGUGGUGAGGGAGAAAUUGACGGCAGUUAAAGGUGAGCAAAAAAAUCAAAAAAACGAUUAAACAGAAAAAAAUAACCAAAAAAAAUCAAACCAUGAAAAAACCGAUUAGAAUAUUUAAAAAAUCUAUCAGUUCGGUAUCGGUUUAAUAAGCCUGAAACCGAGCCAAACCGAACAAAACCAAGCCGAACCGAAACCAAACCCAUUGGAAAUUACAAAAAAAAAAAACCCUAAAAAACAAUAUAGUUUUUGGUUUUUAAUAUAAAAUAACCGAACCGAACUGAAAAUGAGCCGGUUGAGUUUUGGUUUUUGUUCUAAAAUAACCGAACCGAAACCAGUCGGUUUGAACCAGUUUCGGUUUGAUUUUUUUUUAAAUUUGGUUUGGUUUUUUAGGUAAAAACCGAACAAAACCGAAAAUGAUCACCCCUAGCAACAGUAAAAUCCAUUUUGGAAAAACAGAAAGAAGGCCGGCUACAAGAGGGAGAGGGAGAGGAAAAAAAGAGUUUUGACGGCAGAAGACUCUAAUACCAUGUUGAGACAAUUAGGAGGCUUAAUUUAUUGAUUAGACAACCUUUUAUAUAUAUAUAUAUAUGGGGGACAAUAUACAAAAAUAAUAACGGAGGUUAUAAUACAAGAAUAUAACUACAAUAUUUUCUAUAUAGCAUGCUUACAAUAUUUCCAAUAUAUUUAUAUUAAUAAUCACUAUUUUGUUUUUUGGCUAAUGAUGUUCUUCGUUAAAUUUUUAGGGAAUGGAAGUUGGAGUGGAUCAGAUAUUGACGGUCAAUACUUUGCAACAAUCCCAACGUAGUACUUACAGCUCUUGAAGCUAAGCUUCAGGCUCUUACAUUUUCAGGUCAGCUUUUUCAAAGUUUCAACAAUGGGGUGGGUCCACACGUUAACUCAGUCAGCAAUUAGCUUCUGAUUCUUUUGUUGAAGAUUUUAAUUAUAUGCAGCGUUAGACAAAAGAAAAGCAAAUCAGAGGUGUAGAGCAACUUGACUGUAUCUUGUAAUAUAGUCCUUGGUAGGUAAAGUUUGUGGCUUCCUUCCUAGCAACUUCCUUCUUGUCAAACAAUACAAUAAUCUUUGCUACCGUAACAUUCUCUUCCAAAUCUCAUCUCAUUAUACCAUUGAUUUCCCGAUUUCCCUCAACAAAUUUCUUAAACCUUUCUGAUGAUCAGUGCUUCCUUUUCUGAUUGAAUCGAAUCAUCUGGAGCUAAACAUCUUGCAACUUCCUUGUUAUUUUUAAACCAUAUAUUCUUCUCUGUUCUUGUUUUUCUUCCUGAAUACUACUUAAGCAAACCAGCACUUGAAGAACAACUUGAAUCCAGGUAGAUUAUUAUACUCCAUCUUCUUCAUUUUGUUUUUCACAUGUAACUCUGGUUUGAAUCUUUCAAGUAAAACACAAGUUGUGGAAAUUCUAAUGAGAAACUUUGGAGUUAGGAUCAUCAACAGUUUCCAAAAAUAAAUAAUUUUAUCUUUCUCAGUUGUAACAAUUCAUGCCUUAAGUAGUGGCGGAGCUGAGAUUAUUUGAUAGGGGUCAAAACUAAUGUAACAUGGUAUAGGUUUUUACAUGUAAAGAAACUGAUAUAUAAAUGUAAAUUUAAUAUAAAAAAUAGAAUUAUUAGUUCUUAAAGAAGAAAAUUUACACUGAAUUAAAAUUGAGUAUGUGCUCUUUAAAGAACUUAAUUUGGCUAGAAAGAUCAUGUCUAAUUGUAUAUGAGACCUUGUGACAAUAAGGUAUAUGUGAAAAAAAUUGAUAAUUUUAACGGUUUUUUUAAAAACAAAACAUAAAAAAAUCCAAGUAUAAUCAAAAUAAACCCAUAAAAUAUAUGAAAUUAAUUAGAAAAAACAACAUUCACUAUAACAAGAAAUAAAAAAAAUGGUAAACUAGUAAAUCUAUAUAAAAAAAAAAAUAGCAGAAUUAUAUAUAUAUAUAUAUAUAUAUAUAAAUAAAAGAUUUUAAAUUUGGAUCACAAAUUACCUUGUUUUGAUAAAUAAUAAAUUAAUUGACAGCUUUGUUUUAUAGAGAAACGGUAAAGAAAUGUAAUUAAAUUAAAAAAAUUAUUUGUUUUUUAUUUAUUUAUAAGGAGAGAUAAUAUUAAAUUUAAAGAUAAAUAGUAAAAUAAUAAUUUAUUAUUAGAAAGCUCAUUAAUUGUUAUAUUUAAAUACUAAAAGAAAUUUAAAAUAUUUUGCAGGGGCCAGCCCCUGCUUGCCACCCAUUGGUUCCGCCUCUGCCUUAAGGAGUUCAUACUAAAUUGACCCAAAUUUAACCUUGAAUUCAUUGUUUUUCCUUCUUAGUUUCUUUGCUGUUUGUAACUUAUUAUUUUAGUUUCAACCUUCCUUUUCCAAUUAAUGUACUUCCAUUAAUUUUUAUUCAAUAUUUUGACCCUUUUUAUCUAUAGGACAAAAUGGGUAGAUCAGAUGAUCCGUUCUGGAAGGAAGUUGAAGAUAUGAAUGAUGGAAGCAUGAAAUGUAAGUUUUGUGGGCAUUUAUUUGCGAAUGGUACUUCCAUUUCGAGGAUCAAAUGGCAUUUUUCGGGAGAGAGAGGGCAUGGUGUUGGCAUUUGUGGUCAGGUGCCUAAAGAAGUUCAAGAAGCAGCCUUUCUAGCUAUGCGUGGUGGCUACAAAAGACAUAAAGGCAUAGCAAGUUUAAGCAAUGUUAAUGAUUAUGCCAUUUCCACCUGUCCACAAGAACAAGACAAUGCAGUACUUGGUAAUUUGGCACAAGGUGUUGGGCCUGAGAGAAUUCAUUCGCGUUUAGAAGCGGCAAAUGGCAUGGAAUACACUGGUGAAGGAUCUUUUCAGCAUGUUGACAGAAGUGUCUCUCCUUGGAGACUCAGAGUUGAUGCUCAUGAGAAUAGAGGAGAAGCAACACCAGGAACAGAUUUAGUGGAUCAAUUUGCUGAUGGUACUUGGGUUCAGAUACACUCUGCCCUUUCAAAGGAGCAGAAGCUGAAUGAAAUCUCUACCUAUUUAAUGCAGGAAGAUGAGGAUGUGGAGCGUCUGCAUGAUGGAUCUGAAACUAUACCGAGAACAGAACAAGUGCAGCAUCUGGAGAGAGGUAGCUCUUGUGAGAGGCCAUCAAUUAAUCAAGCUGAUGAGCCUCGAGGAGAUUCAUCCCAACCAACAGAUCCAUUGUGUCUUGACCAUGGAAGAUAUUAUAAUCAACUCUGUGCACCUCACUAAGCAAAGAUGUCAUUAUGUAUGAUGUGCAAAACAUGGUUAGAGAGAGGACAGACCAGUGGAGGAGGAGGGUGUGGAGAAUAGUGGAAGAUUAGUGCAACAUGGCACAGGAGCUAGAUCUUCUAGAUGUCUUAAAUACAACACAAGUGAGACUAGAGGAGUUCCAUUACCUACUAGCUCUACAAAGCCAGUGGGUCGAGCAUUUGAAGAGAAUAAGAAGUUGAUAUGGUCUUUGUUAGUGGAUGAUGAAGUCCCGACCAUUGGCAUUUAUGGGAUGGGGGGAGUUGGUAAAACAACAAUACUGCAACAUAUCCAUAAUGAGCUUCUACAAAAACCAGAUAUUUGUGAUCAUGUUUGGUGGGUGACUGUGUCUCAAGAUUUCAGCAUUAAUAGAUUGCAGAAUCUUAUUGCUAAACGUUUUCGUCUAGACCUUUCAAGCGAAGAUGAUGAUCUGUAUAGAGCUGCCAAAUUGUCAAAAGAACUAAUGAAAAAACAAAAAUGGAUUCUCAUUUUAGAUGAUUUGUGGAACAAUUUUGAGCUUGAUGAAGUGGGAAUUCCUGUCCCGUUGAAAGGAUGCAAACUGAUUAUGACAACUCGAUCAGAAACGGUUUGUCAUCGGAUGGCUUGCCACCGCAAAAUCAAGGUAAAGACAGUUUUUGAGGGAGAAGCUUGGACUUUGUUCAUGGAGAAACUUGGACGUCGCAUAGCAUUUUCACCAGAAGUGGAAGCAAUUGCGAAAGCUGUCGCAAGGGAAUGUGCUGGUUUGCCAUUGGGAAUUAUUACAGUCGCAAGAAGUUUGAGGGGAGUGGAUGACCUACCUGAGUGGAGAAAUACAUUGAAGAAAUUGAGAGAAUCAGAAUUUAGGGACAAGGAAGUAUUCAAGUUAUUGAGGUUUAGUUAUGAUCGGUUAGGUGAUUUAGCACUACAACAAUGUCUCUUGUACUUUGCAUUAUUUCCUGAAGAUUAUAUGAUUGAAAGGGAGGAGUUGAUAGGUUAUUUGAUCGACGAGGGAAUAAUUAAAGGAAAGAGGAGAAGGGAAGAUGCAUUUGAUGAGGGCCACACGAUGCUUAAUAGACUUGAAAAUGUCUGUCUAUUGGAAAGUGCUAGAGUAAAUUAUGAUGAUAAUAGACGUGUCAAGAUGCAUGACUUGAUUAGGGACAUGGCCAUCCAAAUACUGCUAGAGAACUCUCAAUACAUGGUUAAAGCAGGUGCACAAUUAAAAGAGUUGCCAGAUGCAGAGGAAUGGACGGAGAAUCUGACGAGAGUUUCAUUAAUGCAAAACGAGAUCGAAGAAAUUCCUUCCAGCCAUUCACCAAUGUGUCCAAAUCUGUCCACUCUAUUUCUAUGUUAUAAUAGAGGGUUAAGAUUUGUUGCAGAUUCAUUUUUCAAGCAAUUGCAUGGGCUCAUGGUCCUUGAUCUGUCUCGCACAGGUAUUAAAAAUUUGCCAGACUCUGUCUCUGAUUUGGUGAGUCUCAUUGCAUUAUUGCUCAAAGAGUGUGAGAAAUUAAGACAUGUUCCAUCAUUAAAGAAGCUCAGGGCACUGAAGAGGUUGGAUCUCUCUUGGACUACGCUUGAAAAGAUGCCGCAAGGAAUGGAAUGUCUAACCAACCUGAGGUAUCUUAGAAUGACUGGAUGUGGUGAAAAGGAGUUUCCUAGUGGGAUAUUACCAAAACUCUCUCACCUGCAAGUCUUUGUACUAGAAGAAUAUUAUCGUCCGAUAACAGUUAAAGUAAAGGAAGUAGUAUCCUUGAGAAAUUUGGAAACUUUGGAAUGCCAUUUCGAAGGUCUCUCUGACUUCGUGGAGUAUCUCAGAUCUCGGGAUGGGACCCAAUCAUUAAGCACAUACAAAAUUUUAGUAGGUAUGGUGGAAGCAGAUUUUUGGCAUCAUGGUUAUUAUUUUCCAAGUAAAACAGUUGGGUUGGGUAAUUUGAGUAUCAACAUAGAUAGAGAUAUUCAAGUCAAGUUCUUAAAUGACAUUCAAGAACUGGUUUGUAAAUGCAUCGAUGCAAGAAGUUUAUGUGAUGUUCUGUCAUUAGAGAAUGCACCUGAACUGGCGGUUAUCCAUAUUGUGAAUUGCGAUAGCAUGGAGAGCUUGGUUUCAUCUUCUUGGUUCUGCUCUGCUCCACCACCAUUGCCCUCAUAUAAUGGUUUGUUUUCUGGUCUUAAAGAGUUUUAUUGUUAUGGAUGUAAAAGUAUGAAGUUGUUGUUCCCACUUGUGUUGCUGCCAAACCUCGUAAACCUGGAAGUGAUUAAUGUUGGUGUUUGUGAGAAAAUGGAGGAGAUAAUAGGAACAACAGAUGAAGAAAGCAGCACCUCCAAUUCCAUCACAGAAUUAGAACUCCCAAAUUUAAUCACUCUGAGAUUGCAUAAAUUACCAGAACUGAAAAGCAUUUGUAGUGCAAAACUGACUUUCAAUUCCUUGAAGAUAUUUGUGUAAUGUAUUGUGAGAAGUUGAAGAGGAUGCCAAUUUGUCUUCCGUUGCUUGAAAAUGGCCAGCCAUCCCCUCCCUUUUUUCUUAGAAGAAUGGAGAUAUGUCCAGAAGAAUGGUGGGAAACAGUAGUGGAGUGGGAGCAUCCUAACGCAAAGGAUGUCCUUCGUCCUUUUGUGGAGUUUAAGUAGGAGGAGACUACACUGCCCUUAAUAUAAGAAUAGAGGGUGAGCAUCAUCCCCAAAGUUAAUAUGUAGAAUGGUUAAUUACUCCUUUAUAUAUUGUUAAUCCUUUCGUUGUAAUAAUAUGUAUCCUUCUGUAAGAAUACAAAUAGAUAGUAACCUUAAAUUUGCUCAUAUUCAAUAAUAUAUCAUUGUUUUAAUCAUUUUUGUUAAAAAUCAUGUGCAAAACAUAAUUAUUUUCGAUAUGAAUGAUGAAAAUAAUCCUUUAAAUCAACGGUUGGAUAUUAUUAUUAAUUAAUAUUGAAAUUACUUGCAUGAUGCUUUUGGAUUAAAGAUGCUCAAUGGGUGGAUUUGGGUCGGUUUGAAAUGGUAUUGCCAAUUCCAUAUUUCAACGAAAAAUCGAAGCCUAACAUGAAUUCAUAGAAAGAAAGAGCGUUUAUUAAUAUGAAAUAUUUCUUUUUUAUAUAGUGUGCUUACAAUUACAUAAAUAACAUUUUUCAUUUUUUUAUUUAUUUCAUUAUCUUUUUAAGACUAUUGAAUUGUCAUAUAUAUAUUUUUUUAACUCGACAGAUAAAUAAUUAUAAUUUGAAGUUUGAUUAAUAUUAUAUUUUCAUCCUAUUGAGUUUCUCCAAGAAGAAAAUCCAAAAUAUAAAAAAAAUACUAUAUUGAUUUAUCAUUAAAGUAACCUAAUAAAAUAAUAUAUCUAUUCACCAGUACAAAUCAUCUUAUAUCAUUAACUAGCAAUAAAUUAUUCUUUUCAAAUAUAUAAUACAGAUUAAAAAGAAAAAAAAAAAGGAGAGAGAAGACAAUUUAAAAAAAGAAUGAUAAUCGAAUUUUGGAAUUUUGGAAUUUUUAUAAGGAUAUAUUUAGAAUAAAAUUUCAUACCUCUAUCUAUUUUCCUCGUAUAAAAAUUCAUCCUAUUUUUCUAUAUUCGUCAAGAUUUUUUAAUCUGUAUUUUUAAGUUUUUUCUGUCUUUAUAGACAACAUAAAAAAACUAAAAGGAUUGGUUAAUCAAUUCCUCAAGAUUUUUUAAUUUGUAUUUUUAAGUUUUUUCUGUCUUUAUGAACAACAUUAAGUGGUUUUUUCUGUCAAUUUUAAAAAAAAUAUAUAUCAAAAUGAAGUUUUCUACUAGUGCCUGGUGGUUUUGUCUGAGUAAAAGGGAUAGAUGCUAAGUUAAGAGUUCAAGGAAGUGAGACAAAAAUUGGAAGGGACAAUUGUGUCGAUUGAAAUUCCGUUACUCCGAUGUUGAGUCCGGUGAAGCCGCCCUGNNNNNNNNNNNNNNNNNNNNNNNNNNNNNNNNNNNNNNNNNNNNNNNNNNNNNNNNNNNNNNNNNNNNNNNNNNNNNNNNNNNNNNNNNNNNNNNNNNNNNNNNNNNNNNNNNNNNNNNNNNNNNNNNNNNNNNNNNNNNNNNNNNNNNNNNNNNNNNNNNNNNNNNNNNNNNNNNNNNNNNNNNNNNNNNNNNNNNNNNNNNNNNNNNNNNNNNNNNNNNNNNNNNNNNNNNNNNNNNNNNNNNNNNNNNNNNNNNNNNNNNNNNNNNNNNNNNNNNNNNNNNNNNNNNNNNNNNNNNNNNNNNNNNNNNNNNNNNNNNNNNNNNNNNNNNNNNNNNNNNNNNNNNNNNNNNNNNNNNNNNNNNNNNNNNNNNNNNNNNNNNNNNNNNNNNNNNNNNNNNNNNNNNNNNNNNNNNNNNNNNNNNNNNNNNNNNNNNNNNNNNNNNNNNNNNNNNNNNNNNNNNNNNNNNNNNNNNNNNNNNNNNNNNNNNNNNNNNNNNNNNNNNNNNNNNNNNNNNNNNCUGAGCGUUUUAGACGACCAUGUGAUCGGAGAGAUUUGAUUCUCAGUAUAAUUGUUGGUAGCUUAUUUGUGAGCCAAGAAGUAUUAUUGAAUAAAAAUACUUUCAUUCUUUAUUGUCGGCUGAGAAGUGAAUUGAACAUUUAUUACCUGAGUUUUCUUCUCCAUUUUAUUGAAUAAAAAUGAUUUUUUUUUUCUGAUUUUAUUAAGUUUUUUUAUAAACCUGAUAAUUUGUCAGAUAAUUUUAGCAGAGUCAUUACCUAUGUAUGCUGGUCAAAAGUCAUUCCCAUCAAUAAGAUGGAGUAGCAUGAACAAUUUAUUUAUUUAUUUUUGGUUUCUGCUAACGAUUUAUUUCAUGAUUAAUAUCGAUUUAUUUCCACUUUCAUAGUAGCCUAGGUGUGUUUUUUCCGAAAUGGUUAUGAGCAUUUUUCCAAUCUGCUGGGGGUGAUGUUGGUGGGGUUGGGCUAGGAGCAUGGUUAUUUUAAUCUUGGGCUUUUGGCGAGGCUUCACGCUGCUACCUUUUUAGUUCAUGAAUUUGAGAUUAAAAAAAUCACCAAAAAGCUUGGAAAAAGAUAAAAAGUUAUUGAUUGAUAAUUUUUCAACAACAAAAAAAACACGAUCUUUGUAUUAAUGGAAAAAUCAUGUGCAGAUUGGAUAGCAAAUCAUAAAGGUGUGUUAGGGAUUCUGAUAGCAGUUAUAGUUUAAAGUAUUUUUUACUUAGAAAUACAUCAAAAUAAUAAUUUUUAAUUUUUUUAUUGAUAUAACACAUAAAAAUGAUCCGAAAAUAUAAUAAUAAUAAUUUUUAAUAAAAAAAUCAAAAUUUAUAAAUACAUAAUUUGCACAGUGGUACCGAACACAACUUUUAUAAUAGAUGUUGAAGUUUCCUACUGCACUGAAGCUCCCUCUCAUUGUUUGGAGCAAAUGCUUGAUUGCGUUCGUGGGGUUUCUACCCCCCGAAUAUGAAGUUAUUUCCUAAUUAAGGCUUUCUGCCCUCUCUCUAAUAAACUGAAAAACGGCAACAUUCAUUUUCUAGCCCAGCAGUGGUUCCUCUAGCCUUCUGCCUUCUGCUAUCUGCCUAGCUGUGAUAUAAAACAAUUUUAGUCCAUAUUUGAAGGAAUAGCAUCCACGAGGAAGUCCAAAAUAAUUAAAUGCGUAGGCCUCCUGUUUCUUCAAUCUUCUGCUGCUGUGAUUAUUAAAGCCUUGCCAAUAAUUACAGAUUAUAGCAUCCACGAGGAUGACGUUCCUUCAAUUUUUCUCUACAGUCAAUCUUUUUCCUUGACAAUAUUAUUGAUUCAACUUUCCAAAAUGUAUUCUUUAGCCACCACAAAGCUUCACACACACACACACGAGUGUGAAAGUUUAUACACUUCAAAGUAAAGUUAAAGAUAAGAGCAUAUAUAAUUAUUAAACCCCGUACGAUUUGUUUUAAAAAAACACAAAAUCUAAAAUUUAACUUGGAUUGGGUUUAUAAUUAAACCAAUAUUGAUUUGAUAAAAUUUGACCGAUUCAAUCAAACCUAGUUUAUAUCUGACUAGAUUAAUAAAAAAAAUGAAAUGAUAUUAUUUUAAUAAAAAUAAUUAAUUUGAAUUAACUUAAUAAAUAACUUAUAAUAUUAAAAAAUUAUCUUAAACCAAAAAAUUUAAACAGAUUUAAAAAUGUUAUAAUGUUACUUUCUAAGAAUUUAGUAAGGAUUUGGAGAACACCAGGCUAAGCUCCAAACACAUCGCCACCUGCAUGCUCUCCAGCAUAAUUCACGUUCCUUUUUCAACCAUCGAAUACCCCACAGCCUCCUCCUCCGGUUCUUGUCGAGAAGUGUAUGGAGCCUUGACAAAUAAAGGUUCUCUGAUCUGUUGAUUGGGUUUGGGUCUCAAGCGUUUGUGAGAUUACAAGAGCUUGGAUGUUAAAAAACUGGUCGUAAUUACUUGUCAGGAGUUCUGGCAGUUGAUAGUAAUAGAACAAAUUUAUUAUUUUCNNNNNNNNNNNNNNNNNNNNNNNNNNNNNNNNNNNNNNNNNNNNNNNNNNNNNNNNNNNNNNNNNNNNNNNNNNNNNNNNNNNNNNNNNNNNNNNNNNNNUGGGCGUCUUCCAGAAGCUUACAACUAAAUAUUAGUUAAGAGGAAGACAAUCUAGCCAUUCCGUCGAUAAAUUAGUGAGAUUGCCCCAAUCACGGGGAAGGCUUUGCCAAAUACUUCAUCUCAUGGAUUCUGAGUUCUUAGCUAUCAAAUGGCUUUCAAAACAGUUGAUUUUAAGUUUCAUUUCAAUAAAUGCCAGUACCAACAUUUGGAAGUGCUAUAACAUGGAGAGCUUGGUUUCGUCUUCUUGGCUCUGCUCUGCUCCACCAUCAUCUCCAUCUUAUCAUGGUAUAUUUCUAUUUUUAAAGAGUUUGAUCUGCGAUUCUCUCCAACAAAUUGGGAUAACAAAUUGUCAGAUGCUGAAAAGGCUGGCAAUUCAUCUUCCGUUGCUUGAAAAUGGCCAGCUAUCUCAUCCCCCUUCUCUUAGAGUGAUGGAGUACAUCCAAAAGAAUGGUGAGAGUCAGUGGUGGAAUGGGAGCAUCCUAAUGCUAAGGAUGUCCUUCGUCCCUUUAUUAUUUAAAUGAUGACUCUGCCCUUUAUCAUUCAUGUGCUAGGUUGGAAUCCUUAAACUGGAGAAGAGUCCACUAAUAUUUCCUCGCCAACCAAGAAGAUGAAGAAGACGAACUUUUCUAUGACGAAGCUGCAAUCAACUCUGUGCUUGAUGAAUCAAAGAGCAGAUCCAGAAACAUUACAAAAUGUAGGUAACAGGAUUACGUACAUGAUUUAAUUUGUAGAGGAAAAAAGAUUGAACUUCGCAUAAUUAAAUUGAUGUCGUUCUCUGAAACUUACAGAUCCUCUGUUUGUUAUAUUACGGUUUCUUAUGAAGUGUAAAUGGCUUCCUUACUUUAUCCGUAAGAGAGUUGGAGGGAGUUAACCUCCAUGAGAAAGUUAACCAAGGAGUGGAGGAAUGCCCUAGAGGACCGGAGACAAUCAAGAGUUCGGCAAGAUGCCAUGGAAGAAGAGGCAUUCCGGAUAUUGAGAUUUAGUUACACGCACUUUAAGGAUUCAGCAUAGCAACAAUGUUUGUUGUAUUGUUCAUUACUGUGAUGAAACGACUUUAGGGUACAUGACCGACAAUAUAAAAACAUCAUAUUUAUGUUAAUUUUUGGAACAUGUAUAUCAAAAAAUAAGUACAUGUAAAUUUUGCACAUCAUUUCAUAAUUUUUUUAAAUUAAUAAAAUCAAAUAAUACUUCAAAAUUUAUCAGAUAAAAUAAAACAUCAUAAUACUUGUUACAUUAAAUAAAAUUCAAUUUUGAAAUAAAAAUUUAAACUUAAAUAAAAUAUUAUAAUAGUCUAAAACAUCUAAUAAAAUAUUUUUAUUCUUAUAAAUUUUGUGAGAAACAAUAAAAAACUAAUUUAGGAAUUAAUUGAGUAAUUAUUAGUUCACAGAGGAUUUUAUUUUAUUUUAUUUUUAGUGACAGCUAAUUUCAUCAAACACCAAUUGCCUUGUUUUUGGAUCACAUAAGCUUAAGACCAGGCACGUGCUACACUACUAAUGCUGGGACACUGUCACGUUCUAACAAUAAUGUUCGAACCAUUUAAGAUUGGACCUACUUCACUUGAACUUUAUUUUAUAUUUAUAAUGAGGAAAAAGUAUGAUUGGGUUGAAAACCAUUUUAUGCUCGGUCGAAAGCUUUUGGACCAGGUUAUCAUGUGUUUGAUACUGUUAUAUAGAGUAUUUUUUAAAAAUAAUUUGUGUAGAUUUUGUUUUUAAUAUCAAUACAUCAAAAUCAUUAAAAACAACUAAAAAAUUAUUAAUUUAAUAUUUUUUAAAAACAAAUAUAAAUUUUAAAAAAAUAUUUAAAAGCAUAUGGACAUACCCAAACCGGUAAACAUCAAAAGCUACAUUGGUAUGUCUCUAUGAAUAUAUGAUAAUGGAGCCUUGUUUUGAAUAUUUAAAACUAGAAAGUAGCAUAGGCGUGAUUUUUAAAAUCUUGAUCCCUAGACUUUUUGCAUGUUUUAUUUUUUUAUUUUUAGUUAUGAUUCAAAAUUUUAUUUUAUUCAUUUUGAUCUAUGAUUUUGAGAUGAAAGAAAAAAGUCACCUGGAAAACUUGGAAAAAGAUAAAAAGUUAUUGGUCGACAAUUUUCCGGCAAUAAAAAAAUAGUAUUUUUUUUUUAUCCACUGGGAGUAUCCGAGUCAACUUGCGCGUACCUUAAAUAAUUCUCACGGAUUUUGAAGUUAAUGACCAAGUAAGUCUCCAGUGACUAUCAAUAUUGGCAACUAUAGGGCUCGAUGAAAUCACAAGAAAGAGUAAACCUCUUGGUCCCAAACUCUUACCACUGGAUCACUUACUAGAUGGUUAAAAAUACAGUAUCUUUGUAUCAAUGGAAAACUUGUGUGUGGAUUGGAUAGCAAAUCAAGCUUCAUAGUAGAUGUUAAAGUUUUCUACUGCACUGAAGCUCCCGAUCUGGUUGUUUGAAGCUAAUGCUUGAUGGCGUUCCUGGGGUUUUGAUGAGUCUAUGAAAGUGCAUUCUAAAUGCUCUGUCAUUGGAAUAAAAUGCUAAAAUGUGAAUAGAAAUAAUAGAAAUUAAAGGGUAUUUUUUAAUCGAGUUUCUAUUUAAUUUGAUAUACUAUCAAGCUUCAUAGGCGUGCUUUUUUCUUUUUAAUUUUGAUCCUUAAAGUUUUGUUUUUUUUUUUUAAUCCAAAACUUUAUUUUCUUGACUUUUUAAACAGCCUGGAUAAACUUAAAGUAAUGUUCUUUUUCUUAGAAACAGCUAGAUACACUUAAAGUAUUUUAAUCAUAACUUUCCACUCACAUAUCGGAUUGCUGUGAUUCUUGAUGCGUUGGAAAGGUAUCGUAAAGGGCUACAAAGUUAGUCUUUGAUGAAAAGGGAGGGCUGCCUGCUUUUGAAAAAGGGGGCUGCCUCCUCUGUAAAGGGGGCUAUUUGGCAUAAAGAAGACGUGUGGGAAUUGCACUAGAGAGAGGGGAAAAAAAAAAGCACAGAUGAGGAAAGGAAUGACUAAUACAGUGAUGGGUAACUAAAUUGUUCCGAUUUCCAAUUAUUCUAACUCUUUUGUUUUAUCAUUCUCAAUUUGUUGUUGAGAAGUAUUCUUCUCCGCAUUUAUGCAGUUUAUGGAUUCAGUCAUGUUUUUUCUAUUGAAUGGAUUAAUCUUUGGAUCAUUUAUUUACCUGUAUUGAUUUAAUUUCUUUGCUUUAAUAUUGCUCCUUAAAUACGUUGUCGUCAUUGGAUUUUCUUAAUAGGGAUAAUUAUUUAAAAGUAGUGAAUGAUUUUUCAAAAGGGUUAUAUUAAUUUGGUUUAAUGUUGAUUUAAUUAUCUAUAUACCUUUUAAGUGGGAAUUUUGGGAAUUCAACUUCGAAUUGAGUUAUUCAACAAAAUAAGAAUAAUUAAAAUAUCAAAUGUGUGCGCAAGGGAUUCUGACUAUCUACCUGCUGUUUGUAGGAUUUAAGUACUUUUUUCAUAAGUCACUUUGCUUUAUUUUAAUCUGCAUUUAAAAUUAAUUUUUGUUUUCUAUUAAAUCAUUUUAUAUUUUCUUUUAUUCUUUUAAUUUGCUUCAAUGUGGAAUCGACACUCCAAAGGUGUGCUACAAUUACCGUGUUAUUUUUAUUUUUGGGUGGAAUCAGGUUUCUACCACACAGAAUGUGAAAUUAUUUUCUCAAGGCUUUCUGCACUCUCUCUAAUGAACUAAAAAACGGCAACAUGCAUUUUCUAGCCCAGCAGUGGUUCCACUAGCCGGCAGGUAACAGUACGCUGGAGAUAUCUACUGCUGCUCAAAGUCCAAACAACAACGGUACUGCCAACAUUAUUAUGCCGCAAUCAAAAAAACAUAAUUUGUUUUUAUAUUUAAAAUUAUGUUUGAGUGUAUUUAAAAAUCUGUUUAUCUUGGAAAAUUCUGAAAUUGUUUGAUUUACCGGAACUGAAAAGUAUUUGCAGUGCAAAAAUUGAUUUACAAUUCUCUUAGAGAUAUUACUGUAAUGCAUUGUAAGAAGGUGAAGAGGAUGCCAAUUUGUCUUCUUUUUUAUCUCUCAAUGGAACACUCAUGACAUCAAAUAGAAUAACUUCAACAAAAACUAAAAAGGAAUAGAAAGCUUACGAAUAGUUAAGAGAGCGUAUUCUAAAAUUUAGUUUAUUGUUUACCUUAUAUUUUUUUGCAUCUUAUAUUUUUUAUUUUUUAUUUUUUAUUUUAACCUAAAAUUUUAUUUUGUUUACCUUUUAAUUCAUGAGUUUGAGAUGAAAGGAAAAAAGAAUCACACAAAAAAAACUUGGAAAAAGAUAAAAAGUUAUUGAUCGACAACUUUCCGGCAACAAAAACACAUACAGUAUCAAUGGAAAACUGGUGUGCAGAUUGGAUAGCAAAUCAAGCUUCAUAGUAGAUGUUGAAGUUUUCCACUGCAGUACUGAAUCUCCCUCUGGUUGUUUGAAGCUAAAGCUUGAUUGCGUUCCUGGGAUUUUGAUGAUGAGUCUCUAUGAAAGUGCAUUCUAUCAUUGGAAUAAAAUGCUAAAAUGUGAAUAAAAAUAAUAGAAAUUAAACAGACAAGUCAAGGCCCAGGAGUCGUGAAAUUCACUUUGAACCAGCCUCCACACACUUAAAGUAUCUUAAUCAUAACUUUCCACUCACAUAUCGGAUUGCUGUGAUUCUUGACGCGUUGGAAAGGUAUCUUGAAGGGCUACAAAUUAGCCUCUUAUGAGGAUUUCAGAAAAGGAACUCCUAAAGCAUGUACGUGGCUGCCAAAAAAAGGUCCUAAAAUACCAAAUGUGUGCAAGGAUUCCCGACGCUCUACUGUUUGUAGAAUUCCAGUAGUGCUUUCUCCAUGAGUCACUCUGCUUUAUUUUAAUUUGCAUUUAAAAUUAAAUUUUAUUCUCUAUUAAAUCAUUUACUGAAGUUCGGAGCUUUAAAGUGUAUGCCAUAUAUUUACAAUUAUAUAACAAAUUAAUUUUCAUUGUCUCGACAUUUUUCCUUGUUUCUAAUUCUUCACCUGCAUUUCCCAAGCAAUAUUUUAUAAUUAUUAGGGGAAUAACUAGUGAUAUAGUAUUAGUUAUUUUCUAGAUUCAUUUAAAAAAACAAAUGCAAAAAAAAUAUAAAAUUCAUGACUCAUAAAAAAUAAUAAGAAUAUUUUUAUCUUGAAUUUUUCUUUUUCUAGUUGUAUCUCUUUAUUUUUUAAAAAUAAAUAUAAAAAAUAAGUAAUAAAAUAUCAUUAAUUAAUCUAUAAACACUAUAAAAUUACUCUCGAAUUAUUUACCCUGGAAUUUGGAUGAUCUAUAAUUCAAAGCGGGCAUGCUGCAUUUCUUUGUUAGGGUUUUUGUCCUUUCUACUAAUUUAUCUAAAUAUAAGAUUUAGAAUCUUGAUGAAUGAAACUAGCAUUCUCGAUUUCUUGGGAUAGAAAGAACAAAAGUAUUAUUAAAAUUAAAAAAGAAAAAACUCCUCAGGCUUUUACCAUGUACCAGGAGAGAAAACACCAUAGAUUAAAAUAGUCUUUUAUCUCCUAUUUCUUUUUAAUCACUAAUUAUUUUAUUUUUAAUUUUAUCAUUAUAGAUUAUGUUGAUAGCGAUUUGAAACUGAUAACUUGUUUUAAUUAACUUGUCAUGGAGUUCUCAAGGUCUAAAAAAAAAAAACAUCAUUGAUUUUUGGUUUUAUAAUAUGAUCACUUCAUUUUUAUUAUGAUAAGUCACAGAUGGAUAACCUCAAACUCAGAGGAUUGCAAAAUCAAACUGCGAGGCCAAAUGCCCCAAAUCCUGUUUAUCAUGAUAAGUCAAAACAAUUAUAGAUAUAACUUAAGAUAUGAGGCAAAGAGUUAGGAGGGAGUAGUGGAGAUAGAAGACCUGAUAUUUGCCUCAUCAACUAGGCAGAGAGUAACGACAUACGCCCUUUUAAUAUCAAAAUCUAAAUUUAGUAGUCUUUGAGGUUACUUAAUUUAAAUAUUGGUACGUACGUAGCUUUUAUUUAUUUAUUCAUUUAUUUUUAAAUAUUGACCUUAAAAAAAAAUUGAAUUUGUAAUUCAACCAAAUAUCGUAAACAUGUUAAAAGUAUUCUUCUACCUAAAUGAAUUUCAGUAAAACUACUACACAGAAGAUGAGUUUUGGUUUCUAAACCUGAAACUGCCAUCAUAAGAACUAGCUAGAGAAGUUAGGAUGAGCUUUUCUUGUCAUUAUAUCACUUUUUUCUGCUAAGAUAAUGCUCUCUGUAUUCUCUGCUACUAUUGCUUAUAAUCUUCUUAUCUCUAGUAUCUUUUCUAACCCGUAUGAGAGAUGCUUUCUAAUUUUUUUCUUGGAUUGUGAAUUUGUUGAAUAGAGUUGACCUAAGAAUCCAGAAGUUAUUGGUGACAGAAAAUCUAGAUUUUUUUUAGGAAAAGUGAGUUCAACUGUUACAUUUUGUUUACAUUAUCUUGUUGCACUAAAUCAAGAAGUUUACUAGACUUAUUAUUUAAAUUUGCUUUAUGGAUGCUUAGCAUUUUAAAUGAUCAUGUGAUCGGAGUAAACAAUCAUGUGAUUGGAGAGAUUUGAUUCUCAUAUAAUUGAUUGUUGGCAGCUUAUUUAUGAGCCAAGAAGUAUUAUUGAAUAAAAAUGCUUUCAUUCUUUAUUGUCAGAUGGAAAGUGAGUUGAACAUUUAUUACUUGAGAUUUCCUCUCCAUUUUAUUUAAUUUAAGAAGCAUUUCAUGAUUUUUCUCUGACUUUAUUAAGUUUUUUCUAUAAACCUGAUAAUUUGUCGGAUAAUUUUAGCAGGAUUCAUUUACUUUCUAGCAUACCAUAGUUGUAAAACCUCCAGGCGUUCGUAACUCUUGAUUGGGUUAUCAAAAAAUUCUGAAAUUUUGCGUGGAGCCUUCUAAUAUGAUACCUUAGCUUGGGUUAAAAUUUCAGAAUUUUUAGAGAAAUUCGAAAAUUUGAUGAAAAAUCACAAUUCGACUAGUUUUACGUUAUUGGAUGUAAUUUUCAAUCCGACCAUCCGAUUGAGCUGAAAUUUUAUGAGGAACCUUAAAAUAUAUUGAAUAAAAUCUGGUUAAAAUUUUAAAAUGAAUGGAGCUCGGUAGUGCUAGAAAAAAAAAUAAUGACCGUCAAAGAGGAAAAAAUAUUCAUUAAGGGUAUAAUAGUAAUUUGCCAUUGAAAACAAAACAUAUAAGCUCUCCUUCUCUUCUAUUAACUGCCGAAUGGGCAGAAACAAAAAGGUGAAAAGAGAAACAGAGCAUAACGUGAGAGAAAGAGAGAAAAGUAAGGAAAAACAAUAAGGAAAUUGAGAAAAAUAACUUUAUAAGCUUGCAAGUUCAACCUAUAAAACACUAAAGCAAGUGAAGGAAGGAGGGAGGGUUUGAGAAGGGGAAUUCAGCUAACUUUGGAAGAGAAGAGAAAUUGGAAGAAAAACAAUAGGUAAGCAUGAGAAGUUUGGAUUUAAUGUUUGAUUUAGAUGUUUUCUUAAGCUUAUUUGACUAAGUUAGGAAGUAAUUUCAUAGAAUUUUACCUUAGUUUCCCUUAAACCCUAGAUUUUUGAACUUAGGGUUCUUAUAUGAAUUUGGGGGAAUUAGGAGGGGAAGGAAAAAUGAUGAAAUUGAAGUGGAAUAGAAUGAAAAUAUGUUGAAAUAAAAAGUAAAUGAAGAAAAAUUUGGGGGAGGAAAAAGAAACAUCACAUUCGGCCAAAUGAAGGAAAAAGUGGGAGAAUGAGUUUUGAUGGUAAGAAAGACUAAAUGAAGAGAUAGCAUUUAAAUUGAGAAAAUAAUAAUAAUAAUAAUAAUAAUAAUAAGUAAAUUCAAAUUAAAAGAGAAAUAAACUAGUUAAAAGAAAAUAUGAAGACAAGAUGUCUAGAUUGUGUUUGAAUAUAGUAUUUAGAUAAAAUGAAUAAUAUGAUGUGAGGGUAUAAAGAAUAGAAGAAUUAUUUGAUGGAGGAAUUAUGAACAUAGAGUAAGCAAAGAAGGAGGUUGUAUGUAAAAUAAUGAUGUUAUAUUUGAGAAUGAAUUUUUAUUAGAACAAAUUACAAAUAAAAAUAUUACGUGCUUUGUGUUUCGGCACGUAAGAAAAAUAUUGAUGGACUAAUGAUAUAAUGACACUUGAUUGAUUCAGGAGUUGUGUCUGGAGCUGGUUAUCAGACAGAAGGAGCUGGGUCAUCCCGAGCAGAAGGUAGGUGAUUCGUCACCUUAUUUUGUAAUUUUUAGUUUUCCUAAUAAUCCAUGUUGCUUAUUUAAUUGAUAUUAAACGAAUGGAGCAAAUGAAUAAAUUGAGUUAUGAUUAUGUGAAUUACCGGUAAAUUAUGUGAAAUUACCGGUUUUGUUGGUUAACAAAGAGGUUAACCGGAUAUGGGGUAAUUCGUAUGGAAUUACCGGAUUGUUUGGCUAAUAAAAGAGGUUAGCCGGAUGCUUGGUAAUUCAAAUGGAAUUACCGGAUUGAUUGGCUAAUAAAAAAGGUUAGCCGGAUGCUGGGUAAUUCGAAUGUAAUUACCGGAUUGAUUGGCUAACAAAAGAUAUUAGCCGGAUACUGGGUAAUUCAUAUGAAUUAGUGGAUUGAUUCUGGAAACCGAAAUGGGUUAGCCGGAUUUUUGGGUAAUCAAGAGAAUUACCGAGUUUAUUGGUUAACAAAGAGGUAACCAAAUAAGAAGUAAUUUAUAUGGAAUUACCAGAUUGAUUGGCUAACAAAAGAAGUUAGCCAGAUGAUGGGUAAUUCGAAUGGAAGUACUGGAUCUAUUGGUGACUGAGGAAGGAAACCAAAUUUCUGAGUAAUUAUAUGGAAGUGUUAGAUUUAUUUGGUAAUUAAGAUGAGUUAGCUGGAUUUGUAAAUUUUGAAAAGAUUAUGUAAAUUAAGGGAUUAAGUUAGAUUGAAGUAGAAGUAUUAAAUUUCAAAGGUUAAGAGUAAUUAAUUAAUAUUAGAAUAAUAUAGUGAGUAAGUUAAUUAAUGUUGUUAUUGUUGAAACAGGUACACCGCGAGGUGAUGUAGAUCGUUAGAUGUAGGAAUACUCCUGUUUAUGAAUCACUAUUUUGGAAUGUAAUAUUCAUGUCUUUACUUUGAGUGUAAAUCCUUUUGUGUUGUAAAAAUUAAGUAGAAGGUGUAAUAUGUAGUGGAUGUAUUAUAUAUAUGUAUAGUUGUUAGUAUGACCAAAUCAUUUUCAAAAUGAUAAGAUAAGAUUUAUUAUAAAUAUAAUAUGACUCUUAAUCUUAAUGUUGUAUUUAUAUAGUUUAAAGGCUUAUAUGUAGUUAGUUAGCAUUUAUUACGUUUAAUGAUGAAUUUGUUUAUCUUUUGAGUUGUUUUGGUAGUCCAUUUAUGUUGAUUUACUAAUUGAUAUUAUGAGACUUGCAUAUAUGAUAAUUAUAAAUAUUGAGUUAUGAUUUGAUGAAUGGAAUGUGAUCCAGGAUGAUUGGAUCAAGAUGGAAGUCGUAAUGACAUAUAAUAGAAGUGUUGUCGAUAACUUGGUACAACAAAAAUAGAGGAAACUCUGCCGAAAUUUUCAAAAAAAAAUCCUAUAAUUUUAGACAUAUUACCCAAUACUUGACAUUAGUAAAGAAAUGUUGGGAGAUUUCAUGAUAUUAUAAUUUGAGGGUGUUACAAUAGUAGCCUAGGUGUGUUUUUUCCGAAAUGAGCAUUUUUCCAAUCUGCUGUGGGUGAUGUUGGUGGGUUUGGGCUAGGAGCAUGGUUAUUUUUAAUCUUGGGCUUUUGGCUAGGCUUCACGCUGCUACCUUAUAUUUGGAAAAAUUUUGUUCAAUUUAAUUCAUUAAAAAUAAUAAAAAACAAUUCAAAAAUUAAAAAAAAUGAUUUGCACAUGUUACCGAACAAAACUUUUAUAAUAGAUGUUGAAGUUUCCUACUGCACUAAAGCUCCCUCUUAUUAUUUGAAGCUAAUGCUUGAUUGCUUUCGUGGGGUUUCUACCCCCAGAAUAUGAAGUUAUUCUCUAAUUAAGGCUUUCUGCCCCACUCUCUAAUAAACUGAAAAACGACAACAAACUUUUUCUAGCCCAGCAGUGGUUCCACUAGCCUUCUGCUAUCUGCCUAGUUGUGAUAUAAAACAAUUUGAGUCCAUAUUUGAAGGAAAAGCAUAUCUAUAAUUGGCUUCUACAAAGAUUAGAUAUUUGUGAUCUUAUUUAGUGGGUGAUUAUGUCUCAAGAUUUCAGCAUUAAUAGAUUGCAAAAUUUAUUGCUAAACGUCUUCAUCUAGACCUUUCAAGCGAAGAUGAUGAUCUGAAUAGAGCUGUCAAAUUAUCAGUAAAACUAAUGAAGAACAAAAAAUGGAUUCUUAUUUUAGAUGAUUUGUGGAACAAUAUUAAGCUACACAAAGUGAGAAUUUCGGUCUGUUGAAAGGAUACAAGUUGAUUAUGACAACUCAAUUAUAAACGGUUUGUCAUCGGAUGGCUUGCCACCACAAAAUCAAAGUGAAGCCACUCUCUAGGGGAGAAGGUUAGACUUUGUUCAUGGAGAAACUUGGACGUGACGUAGCACUUUAACCAGAAGUGGAACGAAUUGCAAAAGCUAUUGAUAGGGAAUGUGCUGGUUUGUUUUUGGGAAUUAUUACAGUGGCAGGAAGCUUGAGGGAAGUGGAUGACCUACAUGAGUAGAGAAAUACAUUGUUAGAGAAAGUGUUAAAAUGGAGUAUGAUGGUAGUAGAAGUGUCAAGAUGCAUGACUUGAUUGGAAACAUGACCAUACAUAUACUACAGAGAACUCUCAAGGCAUGGUUAAAGCAGGUGCACAAGUAAAAGAGUUGCCAGAUGCAAAGAAGGAAGAAUUCGUGGACAUAUGGUCAAUUAUUUUUAUUAAAUUGAUUUCAUUUUAUUUCUUAUUUUUUAAAAAAAUCCUUUUGAUGUUAACAUGUCCUCGUAUAGUAACCGUGAUACUAAAAAUUUAAAUAGGUUACCAACUUAACUGGAUGAAUUAUAUUUUUUCAGAUUAAAAUCUUGUUUGAUUCAAUUUUAAAAUUAAUCUGAUUGGACUUAGACUCCAAGUUGUAAUUUUAACUUACUUUUUACACAAAUUUCAACUUUAUAUUUUCCAAAUUGAAAUUUUUUUCAUUAAUAUCUUCCCUUAUGGCUGGUUUGGCUUUUUGUGUUUCAAAAUAAAUAAAUAAAACAUAUUUCAUUGUUCUUUUUAGAAGAUAUUUGGAAUCAUUUGCUGAAUUAUUUUCCGUUUUUAUUUUUGAAUUUUGAAAUAAAAGAACUCCUAAAGCAUGCUUUCUUUUUUAAUUUUGAUCCUUAAAGUUUUUAUUUUAUUUUAUUUUAAUCCAAAGCUUUAUUUUCUUGACUUUUUAAACAACAGCCUGGAUAAACUUAAAGUAAAGUUCUUUUUCUUAGAAACAUCCUAGAUACACUAAAAAUAUUGUAACCAUAACUUUAUCGGAUUUCUGUGAUUCUUGAUGCGUUGGAAAGGUAUCGUAAAGGGCUCUACAAGUUAGCCCUCUGAUGAAAAAGGAGGGCUGCCUACUUUUGAGAAAGGGGGUUGCCUCCUCUGUAAAGAGGGCUAUUUGGCAUAAAGAAGACGUGUGGGAAUUGCACUAGAGAGAGGGGAAAAAAAGAGCACAGAUGAGGAAAGGAAUGACUAAUACAGUGAUGGGUAACUAAAUUGUUCAGAUUUCUAAUUAUUCUAACUCCUUUGUUUUAUUUUCUCAAUUUGUUGUUGAGAAGUAUUCUUCUCCGCAUUUAUGCAGUUUAUGGAUUCAUUCAUGUUUUUUCUAUUGAAUGGAUUGAUCUUUGGAUCAUUUAUUUACCUGUAUUGAUUUAAUUUCUUUGCUUUAAUAUUGCUCCUUAAAUACAUUGUCGUCAAUGGAUUUAAGUUCUUAAUAGGGAUAAUUAUUUAAAAGUAGUGAAUGAUUUUUCAAAAGGGUUAUAUUAAUUUGGUUUAAUGUUGAUUUAAUUAUCUAUAUACCUUUUAAGUGGGAAUUUUGGGAAUUCAACUUCGAAUUGAGUUAUUCAACAAAAUAAGAAUAAUUAAAAUAUCAAAUGUGUGCGCAAGGGAUUCUGACUACCUGCUGUUUGUAGGAUUUAAGUACUUUUUUCAUAAGUCACUUUGCUUUAUUUCUAUUAAUUUUUAUUCACUAAAGCUUGAUUGCGUUCCUGGGAUUUUGAUGAGUCUAUGAAAGUGCAUUCUAUCAUUGGAAUAAAAUGCUAAAAUGUGAAUAAAAAUAAUAGAAAUUAAACAGACAAGUCAAGGCCCAGCAGUCGUGAAAUUAUUUCACUUUGAACCAGCCUCCACACACUUAAAGUAUCUUAAUCAUAACUUUCCACUCACAUAUCGGAUUGCCGUGAUUCUUGACGCGUUGGAAAGGUAUCUUGAAGGGCUACAAAUUAGCCUCUAAUGAGGAUUUCAGAAAAGGAACUCCUAAAGCAUGUACGUGGCUGCCAAAAAAAAGUCCUAAAAUCUAGGCAAUUUGUUUGUGACACAACGGGGAUCAUGGAGACGUGAUUUUAGGGAUUUAUGUAGUUUAUGGAUUCACUCAUGUUUCUUCCAUUAAAUGGAUUAAAUCAUUUAAUAUUUUCUUCUAUUCUUUUAGUUUGUCAAUGCUGUGCUACCAUCACCGCAUUAUUCUUUGGAUGUAAUUACUAAUUUAUUAUUAGUUAUUUUUUGGAUUCACUUAACAAACAAACACAAAAAAUAAUAAUAUAAAAUGUAUGACCCAUAAAAAAUAAUAAGAAUAUUUUUACCUUGGAUUUUUCUUCUUCUAGUUGUAUCUCUCUAUUUCUUUAAAAUAAAUAUAAAAUAAUAACUAAUAAAAUGACAUUAAUUAAUCUAUAAGCACUAUCAAAUUACUCUCCAAUUAUUUGCCCUGGAAUUUGGAUGAUCUAUAAUUCCAAGCGGGCAUUAUGCAUUUCUUAGCUAGGGGGAGCAAAACUUGAGCUAGCAUGUUUCUGGCUUUUGAUUUUCUGGGUAUGAUUUGUUUGGCUACUUUAUAGUUUAUAGGUUUUUGUCUAAUUUAUCUAUAUAUAGGAUUUAGAAUCUUGAUGAAUGAAACUAGCAUUCUCGAUUUCUUGGGAUAAAAAGAGCAGAAUUAUUAUUAAAAUUAAAAAAGAAAAAACUGCCCAGGCUUUUACCAUGUACCAGGAGAGAAAAACACUGUAGAUUAAAAUAGCCUUUUAUCUCUUAAAUUUCUUUUAAUCACUUAUUAUUUUAUUUUUAAUUUUAUCUUUAUAGAUUAUGUUGAUGGAAAUUUGAGGCUGAUAACUUGUUUUAAUUAACUUGUCAUGGAGUUCUCAAGGUCUAAAAAAAAAGGGCUUCAACGUUAAGUUAAGUUGACGUUUGACUUCACAAAAUUUUAUUUAUUUUAAUUCAAUAAAAAUAAUUGAAACUUUGAAAAUCAAAUAUGAUACUGAAACCAGAAAGUAACCAGAAACUUUGAGCUUUUGCAUUUUAAUUUUUAGUUUUAAUCUAAAAUUUUAUUUUGUUUAUUUUUUAAUUUAUAGAUUUGAUAUAAAGAAAAAAAGUAAAUGAAAAAACUUCAAAAAAAGAUAAAAAGUUAUUAAUUGAUAAUUUUCUAAUAAAAAAAACACGAUCAUCUUUUUGUUAAUGGAAAACUUGUGUUUAGAUUAGAUAGCAAAUCAUACUUUAUAGAUUGAGGGCUAAAAAUAUAAAUUUGUAGAAGGGAGUUGGAAAAAAAAAACAAUUUUCAUGGUUAUGGAAAAGUGUGCGAUCAUAAGAUGUUUUUUUUAUUGUUAUUUUAUUAAUAUGAGUGUUUGAGUUAAUUUACAUAUAUUUUAACUAAUUUAAUAAGUUUUAAAAUUAAUAAUUAUAUAAGUUUUAUUUAAUUUUAAAAUUUAUAUAAUUUAAAUUGAUAAUAUCUAAAAAAAUAAAUUUAAACUCUAAUUAAUUGAAGGAUAGCACUUGUAAUUACGAGAUGUUAUGAAAGAGAGGGGUAUGUCGUUCUUUGUACUCCAAACUUAUUGACUGAUGUGCCUCUUAAAUAAAAGCACACCAUAUACUGUCAAUAAAAAUAGAAAUAUGAAUAAAAGUUUAUAAUGAUAAGUAUAUAUUCAAAAAAAUUAUAUUAACUUAAUACAUAUAAAAGUCAUAAAUAUCCCAUCUUAAUUAAGCAAACUUGAUAAAUCUAAUUACUCAAAUCUGACUUAAUACAUAUAAAAGUUUGUGAAGAUUGAAUACCUGGUCUUAAUUUUUGAGUUAUUUUAUAUUAAAAUAUAUUAUUUUAAUAUAUUUUAAAAUAAAAAAUACUUUAAAAUUUUUUAAAAUAACAAUCAUCAUAUUCCCUACUACACUGUUAAAAUCACUCUAAAAGUAAUAAUGUUUUGCUAAAAGCACUGAAGCUUCAACGUGUGAAACAGCUGGAUGCACUUUUAAGUAUUUUAAUCACAACUUUUCACUCACAUGACGGAUUGAUGUGAUUUUUGUCACGUUAUUUUGUUUGAAAAUGCUUGUUUUUUAAAAAAAUUUGAUUUUUUUAAAAAUUAUUUUUUAUAUUUUAAAAUUAUUUUAAAUUGUUAAUAUUAAAAAUAAUUUUUAAAAAAUAAAAAAUAAUUAUUUUAAUAUAUUUUUAAAUAAAUUGUUAAUAGUAUCUUAAUCAGCUCCCCCGGGCUACAAAAUAGUCUCUGAUGAGGAUUUCAAAAAAAAAAAAAAAAACUUUAGGUUUUUGAUGAAAACGUGUGGGAGUGGGACCAUGGGGACAUGAUGAAAAUAUAGGUGGAAAAGUGGGGCUGCCUCCUUUAGAAAAAGGGGGCUGCCCAUAAAGAAGACGCGUAGGAAUUGCACCAGAGAAAAAAAAAAAAACAAGAAAAGAAAAGGGAUUAAUGUAGUUUAUGGAUUCAGUAAUGUUUUUUUUCUAUUAAAUGGAUUAAUUGUUUGAUUAUAUUUGGUUCAUUUAUUUAUCUGUAUUGAUUUAAUUUUUUUCCUAUAAUAUUGAUUUAAUAAAAAGAACUCCUAGUCCUAAGAUUGACUCAAUUGGAAAGGAUCAUGGUACGUACUGCCAAGAUUGUUAUGCACACAAGCAAAACAUAAUUUGUUUUUGUAUUCAGAAUUAUAUUUGAGUUCAUUUAAAAAUUUGUUUAUUUUGAAAAAAAUAUUAAAUUAAUAUUUUUAAUAUUUUUUAAUAUAUUAAUAUUAAAAAUAAAAAAAAUAUUUUGAUUACUAAAUCUCCACCGACCUAUUUCAUUGUAAAUUACAAUAGUACGUCAUACAAGGUGUUUUGUUAUUUUUUUAAAAAAAAAUUGUUUUUGUUUAUUUUGUUAUAGGUUGAUUUAAAAUUUAGUUUCGUAAUUUAUUAAAUUUUAUUUUAAUUUUUAUAAGAUUAACGUGAUUUACAAAUUUGUUAAAAUAACUCAAAUUAUACUAAUUUUCAGGUUUGGUGGGGUUUUUUUUGUUUAUUAAUUAAAAAAAAAGCUAAAAGAUGUGGGAGAACCGCUAUUCACCCACACCUAUUUUAUUAUGAAUUACAAUAAUAAUCUAUAGUGUUUUGCUUCUUCUUCUUCUUCUUCUUUUCCUUCCCUUUCCUUUUUUUGGUUAUCAUUUUAAUUUUUUUUUUCUGUUUCAUAUUUGGGUUGGUUUAGAAUUUAGUUUCAUAAUUGAUUUUAUUUUUCUUUUUAUGAGGUUAUCGUAGUCUAAAAAAAUAUGUAUUAGUAUUGGGUUCGUGUUUAAAUUUAUGGUUAUCUAUUUUUAUUAUCAUAUUGUUAAAUAAAAAAAUUUUAAAAAAAUUAUAAUUCUACUAGAGUCCAUAACCUUGUUCAUGAGUUUGAUGUGCUAAUCAAAGUUACCUGAUUCACAGGUUUGAUAAUUUUACUUACUGAUUGAACAUGUUUUUUUUUUUAUCUUUUAAUUUUUUUAAUUAAUUUUUUUUUCAAUUUCGUCCUUCAAUAUUGGAUUGGUUUGGAAAUAGACUACAUGAUUUAUUUUUAUUUGUUUUCUAUAGAUUAUUGCAGUCUCAAAUAAAUAUUUAUUUUAGGGAUGAUGCUUAAUUUUAUGAAUACCUAUAUUUAUCAUAUAAUUAAAUUAAAAAAAUUGUAAAAAUUUACUAAACCCAAUAGAAUUCAUGAUCCGAGUUGCGAGGGACCGAAAUUGAUUUAAUCUGUCAUUUUCUUAAUAUUUUUUAAACAAUAUUUUCAGCUAGAGGUUUUUGUAAAAAGUGAAGCCAUGUUUUACUAGUCUUUUAAGUUAACUUUAGAUCUAUAAAAUCGAUUAAUUUAAAUCGAGAUAGUUUUUAUAUAGUAAGUAAAGAUUUGAAUUGGAUAAAAAGCUAAAUAAAGAGAUUUUUAAUAAUAUUGCCAACAAACUUUUUUCACUCUUAAAGAUUCUUUUUUAUAUUUAUAUGAAAAACACUAGGUUUUGUUUAUUAAAAGUAAGGAUGGAUCGUCUUUGACUGCGUGUACCUCUAAUCAGCAACAGAUAGAUAACGGCAACGAUUGAAAACCUUUAAUCUGUCUUCUAAUUUUUUCCCUAUUAGUAAUUGUUACAUAAUCAGAUUCGCUUUAUGUUGAAUAAUUAUUUUUUUAUUUUUUAAAUUUUUUUUAUUUUAUUUUUAAUAAUCUGAUUUUUUUUAAAUGUGAGAUUUGAAAUCUAUUAGUAUAUAUGCUCUAUGUUCUCAAGAAAAAAAUUGUGUUUUUUCAAUGUGUGAUGAAAAAUAUUUUGAUUUAAAUACUUCAAAUUAAAAAAAUAACAUAAUUUCGAUUCUGAGAUAUUUUGAAAGAGAGGAAACGUUAAUUGAAGUACAAACUCAAUGAUUGAUGUAAGAUUAUAUAACAACUCCAAUUUACAUAAACUUGAGAUUAUUUUUAAGUUUCAUUUCAAUGCAUGUCAAGCAGAUUAUGUUGUGCAUAGUUUUAUGUAGAAGGGUAGCUAGCUAACUUUAAAGUGCAUCUGUUGUUAAGAACGCUAUUUCUUGGUUCAGUUGUUUUGUUUUAUACAGGCUAAGUUAGUCUGCUUACAUCUGGUUGGUUUGUGAUCGCUUGCUGCACCCUUUCCCCUUUGGAAAAUGGAAGCAGAAACUUUCAGCAUUCGAUCGGGGGCCACAGAGGUUAGCUAGCUAACUUUAAUUCCGAUUCCGACAUGAUUAAAGUUAUGGAACAUGAUCCAUCAUCACUAGCCUCUCCUCAUUCAUGUGUUAGGUUGGAAUCCUUCAACUGUUUUUGCCACAGUUCUUCGACUAGAUUUUUGUAUCAUUCGUGGAUAUAUAGUAAAAAUUCGUUUUGAUGUUAAGAACAUCAUCGUAACAAAAACCUUAACUAUUAGGAAAAACACACAGCAAAUACAUGGACUUUACCAUGUCAUAAUUAAUUUGAGAUAAGGAAUAUGUAUGGACUUUACAAAUAGGUAUUAUCAUCUAGAAUACUAUAAUUCUUAUUAGCAAUUUUUUUGUACAUAUUCAAGGCUUUCUACCAGAAUUCUUAUUAGGAAAAACUUGUGUAGAUAUUCAAGGUAGUUGUGGUUUUAUUUCAAUGGACUCCACAUUUUUUUCUUAUAAACGUUUAACGGGUACAAAUUCUCAAAGUACUGUAGGUUUUGAGUCCUGAGUUCUAUUUCCAACCAUAGGUUUAACGGUUGUUUCAGUACCCCUAAGCACUAUUUUUAUUGCUAAUGCUAUUCUUCGUUAAAUUUUUAGGGAAUGGAAGUUGGAGUGGAUCAGAUAAUGACAUUGAUGGGGGAGAAGUGCGAUGAAUCAUUCCUAGCAUAGUACUUACAGCUCUUGAAGCUAAGCUUCAGGCUCUUACAUUUUCAGGUCAGCUUUUUCAGAGUUUCAACAAUGGGGUGGGUCCACGAGUUAAAGUGUUUGGCAUUAUUGUCAGAAAAUGUUUUUUUUUUAAAAUAAUUUUUAGCUUCUGAUUCUUUUGUUGAAGAUUUUAAUUAUAUGCAGCGCUAGACAAAAGAAAAGCAAAAUAGAGGUGUACAGCAACAACAUGUUGUAUCUUGUAAUAUAAUCUUUGGUAGGAAAGUUAUGGCUUUUUUCCUAGCAACUUCUUGUCAAACAAUAAAAGAAUCUUUGCUACUGUAACAUUCUCUUCCAAAUCUCAUCUCAUUAUACCAUUGAUUUCCAGUUUCCCUCAUCAAAUUUCUUAAACCUUUCUGAUGAUCAGUGCUUCCUUUUCUGAUUGAAUCGAAUCAUCUGGAGCUGAACAUCUUGCAACUUCCUUGUUAUUUUUAAACCAUAUACUCUUCUCUGAUCUUGUUUUUCUUUCUGAAUACUACUUAAGCAAACCAGCACCUGAAGAACUACUUGAAUCCAGGUAAAUUAUUUAUACUCCAUCUUCUUCAUUUUGUUUUUCACAUGUAACUCUGGUUUGAAUCUUUCAAGGAAAACACAAGUUGUAGAAAUUCUAAUGAGAAACUUUGGAGUUAGGAUCAUCAACAGUUUCCAAAAAUAAAUAAUUUGAUCUUUCUCAGUUGUAACAACCCAUGCCUUAAGGAGUUCAUACUAAAUUGACCCCAAGUUAACCUUGAAUUCAUUGUUUUUUCUUCUUGGUUUCUUUGCUGUUUGUAACUUAUUAUUUUAGUUUCAACCUUCCUUUUCCAAUUAAUGUACUUCCAUUAAUUUUUAUUCAAUAUUUUGACCCUUUUUAUCUAUAGGACAAAUGGAUCCGUUUUGGAAGGAAGUUGAAGAAAUGAAUGAUGGAAGCAUGAAGUGUAAGUUUUGUCGGCAUUUAUUUGCCAAAGGUACUUCCAUUUCGAGGAUCAAAUGGCAUUUAUCAGGAGAGAGAGGGCAUGGUGUUGGCAUUUGUGGUCAGGUGCCUGAAGAAGUUCAAGAAGCAGCCUUUCUAGCUAUGAAUGGUGGCAACAAAAGACAUAAAAGCAUAGCAAGUUCAAGCAAUGUUGACAUUUCCACCUGUCCACAAGAACAAGACAAUGCAGUACUUGGUAAUUUGGCACAAGGUGUUGGGCGUAAGAGAAUUCAUUGGCGUUUAGAAGCGGCAAAUGGCAUGGAAAACACUGGUGAAGGAUCUUUUCAGCAUGUUGACAGAAGUGUCUCUCCUUGGAGACUCAGAAUUGAUGCUUAUGAGAAUAGAGGAGAAGCAACACAAAGAACAGAUUUAGUGGAUCAAUUUGCUGAUAGUACUUGGGUUCAGAUACACUCUGCCUUUUCAAAGGAGCAGCAGCUGAAUGAAAUCUCUACCUAUUUAAUGCAGGAAGAUGAGGAUGUGGAGCGUCUGCAUGAUGCAUUUGAAACUGUACCGAGAACAGAACAAGUGCAGCAUCUGGAGAGAGGUAGCUCUUGUGAGAGGCCAUCAAUUAAUCAAGCUGAUGAGCCUCGAGGAGAUUCAUCCCAACCAACAGAUCCAUUGUGUCUUGAUCAUGGAAGAUAUUAUGACCACCUAUUUGCUCCAUCAGUAAACAAUGAUGUCAUUAUGAAUGAUGUGCAGAACAUGGUUAGAGUGAGGACAGAACCAGUGGAGGAGGAUGUGGAGAAUAGUCGAAGAUCAGUGCGGCCUGAAGCUGGAGCUAGAUCUUCUGAAAGUCUGAAAUACAACAAGACUAGAGGAGUUCCAUUACCUACUAGCUCUACAAAGCCAGUGGGUCAAGCAUUCGAAGAGAAUACGAAGGUGAUAUGGUCUUUGUUAAUAAAUGGGGAAGUCUCAACCAUUGGUAUUUAUGGGAUGGGGGGAGUUGGUAAAUCCACAAUACUACAACAUAUCUAUAAUGAUCUUCUACAAAGACCAGAUAUUUGUGAUCAUGUUUGGUGGGUGAUUGUGUCUCAAGAUUUCAACAUUAAAAGACUGCAGAAUCUUAUUGCUACAGAACUUCAUCUAGACCUUUCAACAGAAAAUGAUGAUCUACAUAGAGCUGCCAAAUUAUCAAAAGAACUAAGGAAGAAACAAAAAUGGAUUCUCAUUUUAGAUGAUUUGUGGGAUCAUUUUAAGCUACAUAAAGUGGGAAUUCCUAAAAAGUUGGAAGGAUGCAAGAUAAUUAUGACAACUCGAUCAGAAACAGUUUGUCAUGGAAUUGCUUGCGAUCACAAAAUCCAAGUGAAGCCACUUUCCGAGGGAGAAGCUUGGACUUUGUUCAAGGAGAAUCUUGGACGUAACAUAGCACUUUCAUCAGAAGUGGAAGGAAUUGCGAAAGAUAUUGCAAGGGAAUGUGAUGGUUUGCCAUUGGGAAUUAUUACAGUGGCAGGAAGCUUGAGGGGAGUGGAUGACCUCCAUCAGUGGAGGAAUACAUUGAAGAAAUUGAGAGAAUCAGAAUUUAAGGACAAGCAAGUAUUCAAGUUAUUGAGGUUUAGUUAUGAUCGGUUAGGUGAUGUAGCACUACAACAAUGUCUCUUGUACUGCGCAUUAUUUCCUGAAGAUUAUUGGAUUCGGAGGAAGGUGUCGAUAGGUCAUUUGAUCGAUGAGGGAAUAAUUGAAGGAACGAUGAGGAGGAAAGAUGCAUUUGAUGAGGGCCACACGAUGCUUAAUAAACUUGAAAAUGUCUGCCUAUUGGAAAGUUUUAAAAUAGAGUAUAAUGAUAGAAGUAUCGUCAAGAUGCAUGACUUGAUUAGAGACAUGGCCAUCCAAAUACUGCUAGAGAACUCUCAUGUCAUGGUUAAAGCUGGUGUGCAAUUAAAAGAGUUGCCAGAUGGAGAGGAGUGGACGGAGAAUCUCACAAGAGUCUCACUAAUGCAAAACCAGAUCGAAGAAAUUCCUUCCAGCCAGUCACCAAGGUGUCCCUAUCUAUCAACUCUAUUUCUAUGUAAUCAUUACGGGUUGAGAUUUAUUGCGGAUUCAUUUUUCAAGCAAUUGCAUGGGCUCAUGGUCCUUGAUCUGUCUCGCACAGGUAUUAAAAAUUUGUCAGACUCUGUCUCUAAUUCAGUGAGUCUCACUGCAUUAUUGCUCACUGAGUGUUACAACUCAAGACAUGUUCCAUCAUUAAAGAAUCUCAGGGAACUAAAGAGAUUGGAUCUCUUUUGCACUCCACUUGAAAAGAUGCCGCAAGGAAUGGAAUGCCUAACCAACCUAAGGUUUCUUAGAAUGAGUGGAUGUGGUGAAAAGAAGUUUCCUAGUGGAAUAUUACCAAAACUUUCUCACCUGCAAGUCUUUGUACUACAUGAAUUUUCAAUUGAUGCAAUAUAUGCUCCGAUAACAGUUAAAGGAAAUGAAGUAGGAUCUUUGAGAAAUUUGGAAAGUUUGGAAUGCCAUUUCGAAGGUUUCUCUGACUUCGUGGAGUAUCUCAGAUCUCGGGAUGGGAUUCAAUCAUUAAGCACAUAUAAAAUUUUAGUAGGAAUGGUGCAUGAAUCUUAUUGGGUAGACGUUAUUGAUGAUUAUCCAAGUAAAACAGUUGCGUUGGGUAAUUUGAGUAUCAACGGAGAUGGAGAUUUUCAGGUCAAGUUCUUAAAUGGCAUUCAAGGACUGGUUUGUAAAUGCAUCGAUGCAAGAAGUUUAUGUGAUGUUUUGUCAUUAGAGAAUGCAACUGAACUGGAGGAAAUCAACAUUCAGGAUUGCAAUAACAUAACAAUUAUUUUAAACCAAAUAAGAUACUAAUUCGGUAAAAUUUGAUCCAUCCAAUCAAACCUAGUUCAUAUUUGACCACAUUAAUUAAAAAAAUAAAAUGAUAUUAUUUUAAUAAAAAUAAUUAAUUUAAAUUAACUUAAUAAAUAAUUCAUAAGUUAUUAAAUAUCUGCUAUAUUAAAAAAUUAUCUUAAACCAAAAGAAUUAAGCAGACAUAACAAUGAUAUAAUGCUACUUAAUAAAUGUUUGAUGGCGUUCCUGGGGUUUUGAUGAGUCUAUGAAAGUGCAUUCAAAUGCUCUGUCAUUGGAAUAAAAUGCUAAAAUGUGAAUAGAAAUAACAGAAAUUAAAGGGCAUUUUUUAAUCGAGCUUCUAUUUAAUUUGAUAUACUAUCAAGCUUUUAUAUAUAUAUAUAUAUAAUUUUGAUCCUUAAAAGUUUUUUUUUUUUAAUCUAAAACUUUAUUUUCUUGACUUUUUAAACAGCAGCCUGGAUAAACUUAAAGUAAUGUUCUUUUUCUUAGAAACAGCCUAGAUACAUUUAAAGUAUUUUAAUCAUAACUUUCCACUCACAUAUCGGAUUGCUCUGAUUCUUGACGCGUUGGAAAGGUAUCGUAAAGGGCUACAACUUAGUCUCUAAUGAGGAUUUCAAAAAAGGAACUCCUAAAGCAUGUACGUGGCUGCCAAAAAAAGGUCCUAAAAUACCAAAUGUGUGCAAGGAUUCCCGACGCUCUACUGUUUGUAGAAUUCCAGUAGUGCUUUCUCCAUGAGUCACUCUGCUUUAUUUUAAUUUGCAUUUAAAAUUAAAUUUUAUUCUCUAUUAAAUCAUUUACUGAAGUUCGGAGCUUUAAAGUGUAUGCCAUAUUUGUACAAUUAUAUAACAAAUUAAUUUUCAUUGUCUCGACAUGAUAUUUUUCCUUGUUUCUAAUUCUUCACCUGCAUUUCCCACGCAAUAUUUUAUAAUUAUUAGGGGAAUAACCAGGGAUAUAUUAUUAGUUAUUUUCUAGAUUCAUUUAAAAAAACAAAUACAAAAAAAAUAUAAAAUUCAUGACUCAUAGAAAAUAAUAAGAAUAUUUUCAUCUUGAAUUUUUCUUUUUCUAGUUGUAUCUCUUUAUUUUUUUAAAAUAAAUAUAAAAAAUAAGUAAUAAAAUAUCAGUAAUUAAUCUAUAAACACUAUCAAAUUACUCUCGAAUUAUUUACCCUGGAAUUUGGAUGAUCUAUAAUUCAAAGCGGGCAUGCUGCAUUUCUUUGUUAGGGUUUUUGUCCUUUCUACUAAUUUAUCUAAAUAUAAGAUUUAGAAUCUUGAUGAAUGAAACUAGCAUUCUCUAUUUCUUGGGAUAGAAAGAACAGAAGUCUUAUUAAAAUUAAAAAAGAAAAAACUCCUCAGGCUUUUACCAUGUACCAGGAGAGAAAACACUAUAGAUUAAAAUAGUUUUUUAUCUCUUAUUUUUUUUAAUCACUAAUUAUUUUAUUUUUAAUUUUAUCAUUAUAGAUUAUGUUGAUAGCGAUUUGAAACUGAUAACUUGUUUUAAUUAACUUGUCAUGGAGUUCUCAGGGUUUUUUUUAAAAAAAGGCUUCAACAUUAAGUUAAGUUGACGUUUGACUUGACAAAAUUUUGUUUGUUUUAAUUCAUUAAAAAUAAUUGAAACUUUGAAAAUCAAAUAUGAUACUGAAACCAGAAAGUAGCCUAUGGAGUUUUCAGGGAAAACUAGUGUGUAGAUUAGAUACCAAAUCAUACUUUAUAGAUCGAGAGCUAAAAAAAUAAAUUUGUAGAAGGGAGUUGGAAAAAAAAUAAUUUCCAUGGUUAUGGAAAAGUGCGCGAUCAUGACAUGGUUUUUUUUUAUUAAUCGGGUUAGCUUACGUAGAGUAAAGCAUACAAAAGUAACAAAAAAAAAUAUUGUGCUUUUGUUAGCUUGAUAUGCUUUCGUCCUUGCUAUCAAUUUUAAUUUUUUUGGUUACUUUUGUAUGCUUUCCUCUGUUGCUAAUAUCCACCUCAGCAUGUAGCAUCACUCUGUUAUAUAAACACCAUGGGUAUAUUGGUAAAAUAGAAAAACAUUCACUAUAAUUUGUCUCACAAAAAUUUCAUGGUUAAGUAUAAUCACUCUGAUCUAAUAUACACACUCAUAUAUCUUAUAAUAUAAUGUUUGGUAGGUAAGCGGUGGGUUGCUUCCUGGCAACUUCCUUCCUAUCAGACAAUACGUUAAUUGAUUAUUAUUGAGCUGCCCUUACUAAUAAAUAGUAUUAUUUAAGGGAGCUAGCGGCUGUACUGUAACAUUCUCUUCCACAUCUCAUCUCAUUAUACAAUUCCCUAUUUUCCUCUCCCCAUCUCAUGAUCAGUGCGAACUAGAUUUAUGUAUGCUGCAACUUUAUUAUCUUUCUAAACCAUAUAUUCUUCUCUGAUCUGUGAUUUCUCUUCCUUUUCUUUUGGCUGAUCACUGCUUAAGCAAACCAGCUAGCACUUGAAGAACAUCUUGAAUCCAGGUAAAUUAUUUGUACUUCAUCUUGUCUGAAUCUUUAAAGUAAUCCAUGAUAAAUUAAUCGAUCUUUUUCUCGGAUUUCAUAAUCCAUGCCCUGUGGUGUUCAUACUAAACUAACCCUAAACCUUGAAUUCAUUGUUUUUGUCUUUUCAAGAUUCUUUGCUGUUUUUAACUCCUUAUUUAUGGGAUUUCUUUUCCAAUACUAGAUUUUGUAAUCCAAUAUUUUUCUGACAUAAUGAUUCAAUGAAAUUGUUUUUUACUGAUUCAUGAAUUAACUUGAUCAGUAUUAAUUAACUUAAAACAAGUGACAAAUAAUUUAGCAUUAAAACAAAGAAUUAAAUAAUUAACAGCAACAUUUAUAUUUCCUAUUUUUCAUCCGAAUUUCUUUAACAAAUAAAUAAGUCAUAUAUAUAUAUAUAUAUAUUCUUAUCUAAUCUGUGCUUUCUGUUCUUUUUUAAACCUCAGAUGGAAGGAGUCCCACCGUCUUUUAAUGAGGAUGAUGUCAACUUGACAUCGAAUCAGUUCGAUUUUCAAUCACCAGAAGAUUCAUUCAAUAUUUCUGAGUUUCUCUCGUACGUCAUUCUUAAGCAUAUUUUAUCAGAAGAUGAUUACUUGCAAUUUAGUUAUUCUACAGUUUUUCUUAUUAUUCCCAUAAAAGAAUAAUGUUCCUAAUAACAAAUUAAGCAGGUCGCCACCGGAGGUUCCAGGCAACCAAAGCUUCAUGUUAUGCAAUGAUCAUGCUGGUCAGAACAUGGUGGUGGAUAACAAUGUGAUCAACGAUAGUAUUCAACAAACAACUGAUCAGUUUCCACCUUCAUUUCCUCAAACCAUGGUGAGUGCUCAUGCCUACUCCAAUUUGCUACAAUGUCCAUUGAAUUAGCAAGUGUUUGUAUCACCCAUUGGAUCAAAAAGUUUUAUGUUUUCGUGUAUCAAUUUAUCUCGAGCAUCUUCAAAAUGUUUAUUGUUAAACAAACAGACAACAAUGGGAGAUUUAGAUGGAACAUCAUCGUCAUGGAUCAACCAAAAUGAACCAAAUUGGCCUCAAGCUCCACCAAGGUACAUAAUAUUCAUCAUUAUUUAACUUCUUCUUCUUCUUGUUCACACUAAAUGAAUUCAUUAUGUUUGAAUAUAGGUAUCUGCCUAAUUUAUUUGAUCCUCAAUGUGCCAAUCAUUUGAGGUAAGCUAAAAUGAUAUCAAAUGCUUAGUGGAUUAAUAGCAAAGAAUUAUGCAUAUGUAUGAAGAAAUCACUAACAAAUGUUGCUUAUUUAGGGACCAACAAAGGACUAAUUAUCAGUUACCAAUGAGCAAUCAAGUGCCUGCGAUGCUACCUGGACCUCAACCUCCAAUGAAUCAAUGGUACUAACCUCGAAUAUACACUUUUUUAAUCAUGAAAACAAUGAACUUGACCAAAAUUGAGCUCUCUGUCUCUCUAGAAAAUCAACCAAGUGAUUUAACUAUUUGAAUAUUUUUCAGGCAUCAGAACUCUAUUAAUCAACCUCAGCCGGGACAUGACUAUAUGACACUGAACACAUCCACUUCACAACAUGGUGGCUUCAAUCAACAUGGACCUUCCUUUCCUCCUCCCUGGUAUCCAAUUUUUCAUUUUUAGUAUUUUCUGUAAAAAAAAUUAGUUUUUCAAUCAGGAAAGUAACAUCAUAGCUUGAACAUGAACCCAGCAAGAUAAUCGUAAGUUUGUUUACGAAUGAUUUUGGAUUCAGGAUUCGAACUUUUUCUAAUGAAGGACAAGUACAUCAAGCUGCUGUAAUUCCUAACAUAGACAAUGUGCAACAAGAGAACUUCGUGCCUAGGUACUGACUGACUUCUAGCUGUUGAUUUUUAUUGCUUAAGAGAGACUACCAAUUAUAUCACUUCAUUUUUAUAUAGGUCACAGAUGGAUAACCUACAAGUCCGAGGAUUGCAAAAUCAAAUUGCUAGGCCAAAUGCCUCAAAUACUCAACAAGUAAGAAGUCUAACUGAAUUAUCGUCGUCUUUUCCCCCUAUGAUUGUGCAACAAACAAACUAUCAAUUUUAAUAGCAAAAUAAGGGUAACUUCCAUCAAUUUUUAUUCUUUAUUUUGACCCCGGUUUUUUUUCUAUAGGUCGAAACGGUUGGAUCAAAGUAUCCAUUUCGGAUUCAUGUUGAAUAUAGGGCUGAUGGUAGCAUGAAGUGUAAGUUUUGUCAACGUACAUGGGCCAAUAAAACUUCCAUUUCAAGGUUCAAAUGGCAUUUAUCAGGAGAGGAAGGGCGUGGUGUUGCCAUUUGUCGUGGGGUGACUAAAGAAGUUAAAGAAGCAGCCUUUCUAGCUAUAUGUGGUGGCCACAAAAGACAAAAAAUCACAGCAAGUUCAGUCAAUGUUAAUGACUGUGGAAUUCCAACAUGUCUACAAGAACUAAACAUUGAGAAUGAAAAUACGGGAGGGGGUGUUGGAAGGGUACAAAGAGAAGUUCAGGUUGUAGAACCCGGAGUGGUGGAAGAGAGGAUUUCUUCACAUGCAAUAGCAGGAAACGACGUAGGAAGCAUGACCGGAAUGAGAGCACAAGAAGAUAGGGUUUCCGAAGGGGCGCUCGAGAGCAGACUGAGGACAGAACCAGUGGAUCGAUCGUUGGAACAAAGCAAUGCAGUACUUGGCAAUGUGGCAGGGGGAGCUAGAAGGAUACAAGUGGGAGUUCAGGGCAUGGAACAAGAUCCAGGAGAAGAGAGAAUUCAGUCGCAUCUACAAGCGGAAAAUGGCAUGGAAAACACUGGUGAAGGAUCUUUUCAGCAUGAUGCAUUUGAGACUGUACCAAGAACAGAGAAAGUGCAGACUCUGGAGCCUGGAGGAGAUUCAUCCCAAUUUUGUCAUGGCAUUGGAAGAUGUUAUGAUCAACCUUGUGCUCCAUCAGUAAACAAUGAUGUAACUAGUCAUGAUGAGCAGCAUAUGGUUAGAGUGAUGACACAACCAGUGCAGGAAGAGGAGGAUGUGGAGAAUAGUGGAAGAUCAGUAGUGCAGGCUGGCGCAGGAGCUAGAUCUUCUGAAAGUCUGAAGUACAACAAGACUAGAGGAGUUCCAUUACCUACUAGCUCUACAAAGCCAGUGGGUCAAGCAUUUGAAGAGAACACGAAGGUGAUAUGGUCUUUGUUAAUGGAUGAUGAAGUCCCAACCAUUGGUAUUUAUGGGAUGGGGGGAGUUGGUAAAACAAUAAUACUGAAACAUAUCCAUAAUGAGCUUCUACAAAGACCAGAUAUUUAUGAUCAUGUUUGGUGGGUGACUGUGUCUCAAGAUUUCAACAUUAAUAGAUUGCAGAAUCUUAUUGCUACACAACUUCAUCUAAACCUUUCAAGAGAAGAUGAUGAUCUGCAUAGAGCUGCCAAAUUGUCAGAAGAACUAAAGAGAGAACAAAAAUGGAUUCUUAUUUUAGAUGAUUUGUGGAACAAUUUUGAGCUUGAGGAAGUGGGAAUUCCUGAGAAGUUGAAAGGAUGCAAGCUGAUUAUGACAACUCGAUCAAAAACAGUAUGUCAUCAGAUGGCUUGCCACCGCAAAAUCAAGGUGAAACCACUUUCUGAGGGAGAAGCUUGGACUUUGUUCAUGGAGAAACUUGGAUGUGGCAUAGCACUUUCACGAGAAGUGGAAGGAAUUGCGAAAGUUGUAGCAAAGGAAUGUGCUGGUUUGCCAUUGGGAAUUAUUACAAUGGCAGGAAGCUUGAGGGGAGUGGAUGACCUUCAUGAGUGGAGGAAUACAUUGAAGAAAUUGAGAGAAUCAGAAUUUAGGGACAUGGAUGAGAAGGUAUUCAAGUUAUUGAGGCUUAGUUAUGAUCGGUUAGGUAAUUUAGCACUACAACAAUGUCUCUUGUACUGUGCAUUAUUUCCUGAAGAUUAUAGAAUUAAGAGGAAGAGGUUGAUAGGUUAUUUGAUUGAUGAGGGAAUAAUUAAAAGGAGGAGCAGGGGAGAUGCAUUUGAUAAGGGCCACACGAUGCUUAAUAGACUUGAAAAUGUCUGUCUAUUGGAAAGUGCUAAAAUGAAUUAUGAUGAUAGUAGACGUGUCAAGAUGCAUGACAUGUAUUAUGAUGAUUGUAGACGUGUCAAGAUGCAUGACUUGAUUAGGGACAUGGCCAUCCAAAUACUGCUAGAGAACUCUCAAGGCAUGGUCAAAGCAGGUGCACAAUUAAAAGAGUUGCCAGAUGCAGAGGAGUGGACGGAGAAUCUGACGAUGGUUUCACUAAUGAGAAACGAGAUCGAAGAAAUUCCUUCCAGCUAUUCACCUAGGUGUCCCUAUCUAUCAACUCUAUUUCUAUGUGAUAAUGAAGGGUUGGGAUUUAUUGCGGAUUCAUUUUUCAAGCAAUUGCAUGGGCUCAAGGUCCUCGAUUUGUCUGGGACAGGUAUUGAAAAUUUGCCAGACUCUGUCUCUGAUUUGGUGAGUCUCACUGCAUUAUUGCUCAAAAAGUGUGAGAACUUACGUCAUGUUCCAUCAUUAGAGAAGCUCAGGGCACUGAAGAGGUUGGAUCUCUAUGGGACUCCGCUUAAAAAGAUGCCGCAAGGAAUGGAAUGCCUAACCAACCUGAGGUAUCUUAGAAUGAAUGGAUGUGGUGAAAAGGAGUUUCCUAGUGGGAUAUUACCAAAACUCUCUCACCUGCAAGUCUUUGUACUAGAAGAGUUAAUGGGGGAAUGUUCUGAUUAUGCUCCGAUAACAGUUAAAGGAAAGGAAGUAGGAUCCUUGAGAAAUUUGGAAAGUUUGGAAUGCCAUUUCAAAGGUUUCUCUGACUUCGUGGAGUAUCUCAGAUCUCGGGAUGGGAUCCAAUCAUUAAGCACAUACAGAAUUUCAGUAGGAAUGCUGGAUGAAAGUUAUUGGUUUGGCACUGAUUUUCUAAGUAAAACAGUUGGGUUGGGUAAUUUGAGUAUCAACGGAGAUGGAGAUUUUCAGGUCAAGUUCUUAAAUGGCAUUCAAGGACUGGUUUGUGAAUGCAUCGACGCAAAAAGUUUAUGUGAUGUUUUGUCAUUAGAGAAUGCAACUGAACUUGAGCUCAUCAACAUUCGGAAUUGCAAUAGCAUGGAGAGCUUGGUUUCAUCUUCUUGGUUCUGCUAUGCUCCACCACGAUUGCCAUCAUAUAAUGGUACGUUUUCUGGUCUUAAAGAGUUUUAUUGUGUUAGAUGUAAAAGUAUGAAGAAGUUGUUCCCACUUGUGUUGCUGCCAAACUUCGUAAACCUGGAAGUGAUUGUUGUUGAGGAUUGUGAGAAAAUGGAGGAGAUAAUAGGAACAACAGAUGAAGAAAGCAACACCUCCAGUUCCAUCGCCGAAUUAAAACUCCCAAAGUUAAGAGCUCUGAGACUGAGAUAUUUACCAGAAUUGAAAAGCAUUUGUAGUGCAAAACUGAUUUGCAAUUCUCUUGAAGAUAUUACUGUAAUGUAUUGUGAGAAGCUGAAGAGGAUGCCGAUUUGUCUUCCGUUGCUUGAAAAUGGCCAGCCAUCCCCUCCCCCUUCUCUUAAAAAAAUCGAAGCAAGGCCAAAAGAAUGGUGGGAGACAGUAGUGGAGUGGGAGCAUCCUAAUGCAAAGGAUGUCCUUCGUCCCUUUGUAAAGUUUGGAUACUGGUAAUCCUUCCGUUGUAAGAAUACUAAUUGAUUGUAACCUUAAAUUACAUAAAUAACAUUUUUCAUUUUUUUAUUUCAUUAAAGACUACUGAAUUGUCAUAUUUUUUUAACUCGAUAGAUAAACAAUUAUAAUUUGAAGUUUGAUUAAUAUUAUAUUUUCAUCCUAUUGAGGUUCUCCAAGAUGAAAAUCCAAAAAAUAAAAAAAUACUACAUUGAUUUAUCAUAAAAGUAACCUAAUAAAAUAAUAGAUGUUUUGAAAGAGGGGGUAUAGCGUUUAUUGUACUCCAAACUCAUUGACUGAUGUACCUCUUAAAUAAAAGCACACCAUAUACUGUCAAUAAAAAUAGAAAUAUGAAUAAAAGUUUAUCAUGAUAAGUAUAUAUUCAAAAAAAUUAUAUUAAAAGUCAUAAAUAUUCCAUCUUAAUUAAGCAAACUUGAUAAAUCUAAUUACACAAAUCUCUGACUUAUAAUACAUAUAAAAGUUUGUGAAGAUUGAACUCCUGCUCUUAAUUUUUGAAUUAUUCUAUAUUAAAAUAUAUUAUUUUAAUGUAUUUUUAAAUAAAAAAAUAUUAAAAAUAACAACAAUUACAUUCCUUUCCGCACGGUCAAAAUUACUCUAAAAAUAAUUUUUUAAAAAUAAAAAAUAUAAUUUUAAAAAUUAACAAUAUAUAUUUUUUGUAUGGCCAUAAAAAAAAUCAAAGUUACCUCCAAAUCAAACAUUAUUUUAAUAUAUUUUUGAAUAAAAAAUAUUUUAAAAAACAAUUACAACCACACUAUCUAACAUGCUUGUUUUCUUUCCGCAUCUAACCAGUGCGAACUAGAUUUAUGUAUACUGCAACUUUAUUAUUUUUCUAAGCCAUAUAUUCUUCUCUGAUCUGUGAUUUCUCUUCUUCUUUUUUUGUUCGUUCUUGGGAUAGAAAGAACAGAAUUAUUAUUAAAAUUAAAAAAGAAAAAACUGCCCAGGCUUUUACCAUGUACCGGGAGAGAAAACACUAGAGAUUAAAGUAGUCAUAAAUAUUCCAUCUUAAUUAAGCAAACUUGAUAAAUCUAAUUACACAAAUCUGACUUAAUACAUACUUAAUACAUAUUAAAGUUUGUGAAGAUUGAAUACCUAGUCUUUAUUUUUUAGUUAUUCUAUAUUAAAAUAUAUUAUUUUAAUAUAUACUUUAAAAUUUUUUAAAAUAACAACAAUCACAUUCACUUCCGCACUGUCAAAAUCAUUCUAAAAGUAGUAAAAGUAGUAAUGUUCUUUAAAAAAUCAUUGUUUAUGGAUUCAGUAAUGUUUUUUCUAUUAAAUGGAUUAAUUGUUUGAUUAUAUUUAGAUCAUUUAUUUAUCUGUAUUGAUUUAAUUUUUUUACUAUAAUAUUGAUUUAAUAAAAAGAACUCCUACAACAGCACGUAGCUGCCAAAAAAAUCCUAAAAUUGACUCAAUUAGAAAGGUACUUACUACCAAGAUUGUUAUGCCCGCAAUCAAAACAUAAUUUGUUUUUGUACUCAGAAUUAUGUUUGAGUGCAUUUAAAAAUUUGUUUAUUUAAAGAAAUAUAUUAAAUUAAUAUUUUUAAUAUUUUUUAAUAUAUUAAUAUUAAAAUAAAAAAAUAUUUUAAAGAGAAAAAAAUAUAUUUGACAAAGAAUGAAUAGAAAGCUUACGAAUAGUUAAGAGUCGUAUUGUAAAGUAUAGUUUACCGGUUGACUCACAGAUUAACUGAUUAACCCCAUCAUAUUAUUUAUUUAUAAAAACUAAAAUAAUAAUGUUUUUUUUAAUAUUAUCUUUUUAAAUAUUUUUAUUUUAAAAAAGUUUCACGUUGUAUAUAAAAAAAAUGUUUUAAUUUAGCAACGAUAGAGCAUUCACAAGGAAGAUGUUUUGCCUUUUUUUUCUUUAAUUUGUUUUUGUUUAUUUGAUUAUUGGCUGGUUUAGAAUUCAGCUAAGACAUCUAAUAAAAUAUUUUUAUUCUUAGAAAUUUUGUGAAAAACAAUCAAAAAACUAAUUUAAUUAGGGAUUAAUUGAGUAAUUAAUUACCUUUACCUUACAGAGGAUUUUUUCUUUAAUUUUUUAAAAAUAAUAAUUAAAUAUUAUUUUGAUGUAUUGUUAAAUAAAAAAUAUUUUAAAAAAUAAUUGAUAUUGUACUCUUAAACACCCCUAAAUGCUCUAUUAUUGAAAUCAAAUGCUAAAAUGUGAAUAGAAAUAAUAGAAAUUAAUGUGUAUUUUUUAAUUGAAUUUCUAUUUACUUUGAUAUACUCUUGAACAGGUCUUUAUGUUUGAUUUCAGAGUUUAUAGAGACGUGAAAUUCACUUGAAACCAGCCUGGAUACAUUUAAGUAUUUUACUCACAACUUUCUACUCACAUAUCAGAUUCCUGUGAUUCUUGACGCGUUGGAAAGGUAUCUUACAGGGCUACAAAUUAGUCUCUAAUGAGGAUUUCGAAAGAAGAACUCCUAAAGCAUGUACGUGGCUGCCUAAGAAGUCCUAUAAUUUUGGUUUUUGAUGAAAACGUGUGGGAUCAUGGAGACGUGAUGAAAAAGGAGGGCUGCUUCCUUUAGAAAAAGGGGUAUUUGUUGGCCAUUGCGCCAGAGAAAAAAAAAAGAAAAAAAAAGGAGGAGAACAGGCAAGGAAAGGAAUGGCUAAUUAAUACAGUGAAGGAUAGCCAAAUUGUUCAGAUUUCCAAUUAUUCCAACUCUUUUGUUUUAUCAUUCUCAAAGUCCAAACAACAACGGUACUGUCAAGACUGUUAUGCCCGCAAUUAAAAUAUAAUUUGUUUUUGUACUUAGAAUUAUAUUUAAUUGCAUUUAAAAUAUAAUUUUUAUUUUUUAAAAAAUAUUAAAUUAAUAUUUUUUAUAUAUUAAUAUUAAAAAUAAAAAAAUAUUUUGAUUACUAAUAACGAAUAGUUAAGAGACGUACUAGUGGACUCACAUAUUAACUGAUUAACCUGAGUAAAAAACAAAACCACAUCAUAUUAUUUAUUUAUAAAAACUAAAACGAUGGUAUUUAUUAAAAAAAAACCAAAAAAACAAUUUUUUUAAAUAGUAUUUUUUUAAAAUAUUUUUAUUUUAAAAAAGUUUCACAUAAUUGUAGAUAAAAAAAGAAAAUGUUUUAAUUUAGCAACUAUAGAGCAUCCACAAGGAAGAUAUUAUACGGUUACUAAUUUUCAUUAAAAGAAAAGCUAAGAGACUUGGGAGAAUCACUAUAUAUCCACACCUAUUUCAUUGUAAAUUAUAAUAGUACGUAAUUCAAGGUAUUUGUCUUUUUUUUAAUUAGAGGCUGUUUAUAAUUCAGCUUUGUAAUUUAUUAAUUUUUAUUUUAUCUUUAUAUAAGAUUAAUGUGAUUUAUAGGUUUGUUAAAAUAACUCAAAUUAUACUAGUUUUCAGGUUUGGUGGGAUAUUUUUUGUUUAUUAAUUAAAAGAAAAACUAAAAGGUGUGGGAGAAUUACUAUUCACCCACACCCAUUUCAUUAUAGAUUACAAUAGUAAUCCAAAAUGUUUUGUUUCUUUUGUUUUUUUUCCUUUCCUUUCCUUUUUUUGUUAUCAUUUAAAAAAAAAAAUUUGUCUAUUUCAUAUUUGGGCCAAAUUAGCAUUUAUAUAUAUAUAUAUAUAUUGGGUUGGUGUUUAAUUUUAUAAUUAUCUAUUUUUGUUGUUAUAUUGUUAAAUAAAAAUAAUUUUAAAAAAAAUUAUAAUCCUAGUUGAGUUCAUAACCUGGUUCAUGAGUUUGAUGUGCCAGACCAAGUGACCUGAUUCACAAAUUUGACAGGUUUACCACUGAUCAAAUAUGUUUACCACAAAUUUGUUUCUGGUCUUUUAAUUUUUUUAAUUGAUUUUUUUUAUUUCGUCCUUUAAUAUUAUAUUGGUUUCGAAAUAGACUGCAUGAUUUAUUUUUGUUUGUUUUCUAUAGAAUUAUCACAAUCUUAAAUAAAUAUUUAUCUUAGGGAUAAUACUCAAUUUUAUGAGCAUAUUUUUUUUCAUAUAAUUAAAUAAAAAAAGCUUAUAAAAGAUUACUAAACCCAAUAAAAUCCAUGAUCCGGGUCACAAGGUACCGAGAUCGAUCAAAUCUGUUAUUGUUUCAAUAUUUUUAAAAAAGAUUGUUGUCUAGAGUUUUUUUCUUAAAGCUAAGCCAUGUUUUACUCAUCGUUAUAUUUGGAUAUUGAUCAAUUUAGUUUUCAUAUAAUUUAAUUAAAAAUUUAAAUUAAAUAAAUUAAGGUUAAAAUUUUUUAAUAUUAACUACCAAGACCAGACCAGGUUUAAUAAUAUCGCAAACAAACUUUCUUCACUCUUAAUAUCUUAUAAUAUAAUGUUUGGUAGGCAAAGUAGUGGGUUGCUUCCUAGCAACUUCCUUCCUAUCAAACAAAACAAUAAUUUGUGUAUACUGCAACUUUAUUAUUUUUCUGAAUCAUAUAAUCUUCUCUGUCUGUGAUUUCUCUUCUGUUUUAAUCCUCAGGACGUACUAAUCAUCUUCUACCUCUUUUCCUUUCCACACCUCACCAGUGCGAACUAGAUUUAUGUGAUUUCUCCUCUUUUUUUUUGGCUGAAUACUGCUCAAGCGAACCAGCACUUGAAUCCAGGUAAAUUAUUUGUACUUCAUCUUGUUGGUGUUUUUGUUUGUAUAUAUUUAACUAUAUAUGGUUUGAAUCUUUAAAGGAAUCCAUGAUAAAUAAAUUGAUCUUUUUCUCGGAUUUUAUAAUCCAUGCCUAGUGGAGAGUUCAUACUAAAUUAAUACUGAAUUCAUUGUUUUCGUCUUUUCAAGAUUCUUCGCUGUUUUUAACUCCUUAUUUUAGAUUCACCCUUUUCUUUUCCAAUUAAUGGGACUGCCAUUUAUUUUUAUUCAAUAUUUUUCAACUUUUUUUCUUACAAUGAUUCAAUGAAUUAACUUGAUCAGUAAUUACCUGAAUCUUUUUGAACAAAACAAUAUCUUGCAUUUGUUUUGCUCCCCAAAUUAUGAAUAAAUAGCAGUUGAAACUUGAAAGAGGUUUUUGUUCACCCCGUCAAAACAAUCAGCUCUUCUACCUUCCUUCCCCUGCUUUCUUCAACAGUUAUCCUCUUCUGCAUCUUUCUAUCUAACAUUCUAGAGUUUUAGGAUCUCGUGUCAUAAAAAGAAUUUGAGUAUGAUAAUUUAGCUUUAAAUUCAAAGGGUUAAAUCAUUAACAACAACAUUUAUAUUUCAUAUUUUUCAUCCGAAUUUCUUUAACAAACAAGAAAGUCAUUCAUACAUAUAUAUAUAUAUAUAUAUAUAUAUAUAUAUAUUCUUUUCUGAUCUGUGCUUUCUGUUCUUUUUAAACCUCAGUUCUUUUUCUCUUUUCUGAUCUUUUCUGGUCAGAUGGAAGGGUUCCAACCAUCUUUUAUGGAGGAGGUUGACAACAUGACAUGGGAUCAGCUGGGUUUUCAAUCAGAAGAAGAUACAAGAUACAUUCAAUAUGUCUGAGCUUCUCUCGUACGUCAUUCUUGAGCAUAUUUUAUCAGAAGAUGAUUGCUUGCAAUUUAGUUAUUCUUCAGUUUAUCCUAUUAUUCCCAAAAAAACAAUAUAAUGUCGUCAGUACUGUCCAUGGAAGCAGGCCGCCACCGGAGGUUCCGGUCAACCAAAGCUCCAUAUCAUGCAAUGAUCAAGGUGGACAGAACAAUGUGAUCAACGAUAGUAUUCAACAAACAACUCCGUUUCCAACUUCAUUUCCUGAAACCAUGGCGAGUACUCCAAUUUGCUACAAUGUCCAUUGAAUUAGCAAGUGUUUGUAUUAUACAAAAAGUUUUAUGUUUAGUGUAUCGAUCUCGAGCAUCUUCAAAUUGUUUACUGUUAAACAAACAGACAACAAUUGGGAGAUUUAGACAUUUUUUAUGAUAUUUUUUUUAUCAUUAAGUUUUAUAUAAAAUUGGCCUCAGACUCCAUCAAGGCAUCAUAAUUCCUUUAUUCAUCAACCUCAGCCGGGACAUGGCUAUAUGACACCGAACGCAACCACUUCACAACAUGGUGGUUUCAAUCAACCUGGACCUUCUUUUUCCUGCUACCCGGUAUCCAAUUUUUCAUUUUUAGUAUUUUCUGUUAAAAAAAGAAGUUUUUCAAUCAUUAUUUAACUUCUUCUUUUCUUCCUCUUGUUGUUGUACUUAUCAGUGAAUUCAUUAUGUUUGAAUAUAGGUAUCACCGUAUCAGCUUAAUCCUAAUUUAUUUUAUCCUCAACGUGCCAGUCCCAUGCUACCCGCAUCAUCAAUGCCUUUGAGGUAAGCUAAAAUGAUAUCAAAUGCUUAGUGGAUUAAUAGCAAAGAAUUAUGCAUAUGUACAAAGAAAUCACUAACAAAUGUUGCUAAUUUAGGGACCAAUAAUGGACUAAUUAUCUGUUACCAAUGAGCAAUCAAGUGCCUGCGAUGCUACCUGGACCUCAACCUCCAAUGAAUCAAUGAUAUUAACCUCGAAUAUAUAUACACUUUUUUAAUCAUGAAAACAAUAAACUUGACCAAAAUUGACGAGGAUCUUUCGAGUCUUUUUGAGCUCUCUAUCUCUAUUUUUUUUUGUGCACAUAAUGGAACUAGAAAAUCAACCAAGUUAGAAUAACAGUUCUAAGUUUAGCUAUUUGAAUAUUAUUCAGGCAUCAGUACUCCAAUAUUCAUCAACCACAGCCGGGACAUGGCUAUAUGACACCGAACGCAACCACUUCAGAACAUGGUGGCUUCAUUUAACCUGGACCUUCUUUUCCUGCUCCCCGGUAUCCAAUUUUUCAUGUUUAGUAUAUAUUUUCUAUAUAAAAAAAAUUAGUUUUUCAAUCAGGAAAGAAACAUCAUGGCUAAACAUAUUGUUUGCAAAUGAUUUUGGAUACAGGAGUCAAUAUUUUUCUAAUCAAGGACAAGUCGAUCAAGCUGCUGUAAUUCCUAACUUAGACACUGUGCAACAAGAGAACUUCGUGCCUAGGUACUGAUUGACUUCUAGCUGUUGUGUUUUAACACCAUUAACUUUUACUGCUUAAGAGAGACUACCAAUUAUGGAAAGGUUUUAUAAUAUGAUCACUUCAUUUGUAUAUAGGUCACAGAUGGAUAACCUCCAAGUCCGCGGAUUGCAAAAUCAAAUUGCUAGGCCAAAUGCCUCAAAUUAAUCCUGGCCCUGACACCUCCUUGCAAAGUCAAAUUACGGGCUUAAAUACUCAACAAGUAAGAAGUCUAACUGAAUUAUCGUCGUCUUUUCCCCCUAUGAUUGUGCAAUAAACAAACUAUCAAUUUUAAUAGCAAAAUAAGGGUAACUUCCAUCAAUUUUUAUUCUUUAUUUUGACCCCGGUUUUUUUUUCUAUAGUUCGAAACGGUUGGAUCAAAGUAUCCAUUUCGGAUUCAUGUUGAAUAUAGGGCUGAUGGUAGGAUGAAGUGUAAGUUUUGUCCACAUACAUAUGCCAAGGAUACUUCCAUUUCGAGGAUCAAAUGGCAUUUAUCAAAAGAGAGAGGGCAUAAUGUUGCCAUUUGUCCUGGGGUGACUACAGAAGUUCAAGAAGCAGCCUUUCUAGCUAUAUGUGGUGGCCACAAAAGACAAAAAAUCACAGCAAGUGCAGUCAAUGUUAAUGACUGUGGAAUUUCAACUUGUCUACAAGAACUAAACAUUGAGAAUGAAAAUACGGGAGGAGGUAUUGGAAGGGUACAAAGAGAAGUUCAGGUUGUAGAACCCGGAGUAGUGGAAGAGAGGAUUUCUUCACAUGCAAUAGCAGGAAACGACGUAGUAAGCAUGACCGGAAUGAGAGCACAAGAAGAUAGAGUUUCCGAAGGGGCACUCGAGAGCAGACUGAGGACAGAACCAGUGGAUCAAGCGUUGGAACAAAGCAAUGCAGUACUUGGCAAUAUGGCAGGGGGUGCUGGAAGGAUACAUGUGGGAGUUCAGGGCAUGGAACAAGGUCCAGGAGAAAAUAGAAUUCAGUCGCAUCUACAAGCGGAAAAUGGCAUGGAAAACACUGGUGAAGGAUCUUUUCAGCAUGAUGCAUUUGAGAAUGUACUUAGAACAGAGCAAGUGCAGCUUCUGGAGCCUCAAGGAGAUUCAUCCCAAUUUUGUCUUGACAUUGGAAGAUGUGAUGAUCAAACUUGUGCUCCAUAAGUAAACGAUGAUGUAAAUAGGCAUGAUGCGCUGGACAUGGUUAGAGUGAGGACAGAACCAGUGGAGGAUGAUGAUGUGGAGAAUAGUGGAAGAUCAGUAGUGCAGGCUGGCGCAGGAGCUAGAUCUUCUGAAAGUCUGAAAUACAACAAGACUAGAGGAGUUCCAUUACCUACUAGCUCAACAAAGCCAGUGGGUCGAGCAUUCGAAGAGAAUACAAAGGUGAUAUGGUCUUUGUUAAUGAAUGGGAAAGUCUCAACUAUUGGCAUUUAUGGGAUGGGGGGAGUUGGUAAAUCCAUAAUACUGCAAUAUAUUUAUAAUGAGCUUCUACAAAGACAAGAUAUUUGUGAUCAUGUUUGGUGGGUGAUUGUGUCUCGUGAUUUCAGCAUUAAUAGAUUGUAGAAUCUUAUUGCUAAACAUCUUGAUCUAAACCUUUCAAGCGAAGAUGAUGAUCUGUAUAGAGCUGCUAAAUUGUCAGAAGAACUAAGGAAGAAACAAAAAUAGAUUCUCAUUUUAGAUGAUUUGUGGAACAAUUUUGAGCUUGAGGAAGUGGGAAUUCCUGAGAAGUUGAAAGGAUGCAAGCUGAUUAUAACAACUCGAUCAAAAACGAUUUGUCAUCGGAUGGCUUGCCACCCCAAAAUCAAAGUGAAGCCACUUUUCGAGGGAGAGGCUUGGACUUUGUUCAUGGAGAAACUUGGACGUGAUGUAGCACUUUCACCAGAAAUGGAAGGAAUUGCGAAAGCUGUUGCAAGGGAAUGUGCUGGUUUACCACUGGGAAUUAUUAUAGUGGCAGGAAGCUUGAGGGGAGUGGAUGAUCUACAUGAGUGGAGAAAUACAUUGAAGAAAUUGAGAGAAUCAGAAUUUAGGGACAUGGAUGAGAAGGUAUUCAAGUUAUUGAGGUUUAGUUAUGAUCGGUUAGGUUAUUUAGCACUACAACAAUGUCUCUUGUACUGUGCAUUAUUUCCUGAAGAUGAUAUGAUUGAAAGGGAGGAGUUGAUAGGUUAUUUGAUCGAUGAGGGAAUAAUUAAAGGAAAGAGGAGCAAGGGAGAUGCAUUUGACGAGGGCCACACAAUGCUUAAUAGACUUGAAAAUGUCUGUUUAUUGGAAAGUGCAAAAAUGGAGUAUGUUGCUAGGAGAUUUGUCAAGAUGCAUGACUUGAUUAGGGACAUGGCCAUCCAUGUACUGCUGGAGAGCCCUCAAUACAUGGUUAAAGUAGGUGCGCAAUUAAAAGAGUUGCCAGAUGUAGAGGAGUGGACGGAGAAUCUGACGAUAGUUUCAUUAAUGCAAAACGAGAUCGAAGAAAUUCCUUCUAGCUAUUCACCAGUGUGUCCAAAUUUGUCAUCUCUAUUUCUAAAUUAUAAUGACGGGUUGCGAUCUAUUGCGGAUUCAUUUUUCAAGCAAUUGCAUGGGCUCAAGGUCCUCGAUCUGUCUUGGACAGGUAUUGAAAAAUUGCCAGACUCUGUCUCUGAUUUGGUGAGUCUCACUGCGUUAUUGCUCAAUAAUUUAGAGAACUUAAGACAUGUUCCAUCAUUAAAGAAGCUCAGGGCACUAAAGAGGUUGGAUCUCUCUCGUACUUCACUUGAAAAGAUGCCGCAAGGAAUGGAAUGCCUAACCAACCUGAGGUAUCUUAGAAUGAAUGGAUGUGGUGAAAAGGAGUUUCCUAGUGGGAUAUUACCAAAACUCUCUCACCUGCAAGUCUUUGUACUAGAAGAGUUUAUGGUGCGAGGUGCUGCUCCGAUAACAGUUAAAGGAAAGGAAGUAGGAUCCUUGAGAAAUUUGGAAACUUUGGAAUGCCAUUUCGAAGGUUUCUCUGACUUCGUGGAGUAUCUCAGAUCUCGGGAUGGGAUCCUAUCAUUAAGCACAUACAAAAUUUUAGUAAGAGAGGUGGAUGGAGAUUUUGGGAAAUGUAUUAAUAAUUUUCCAAGUAAAACAGUUGGGUUGGGUAAUUUGAGUAUCAACGGAGAUAGAGAUUUUCAGGUCAAGUUCUUAAAUGGCAUUCAAGGAUUGGCUUGUAAACGCAUCGAUGCAAGAAGUUUAUGUAAUGUUUGGUCAUUAGAGAAUGCAACUGAACUGGAGCACAUCAACAUUUUAAAUUGCAAUAGCAUGGAGAGAUUGGUUUCAUCUUCUUGGUUCUGCUCUGCUCCACCACCAUUGCCAUCAUAUAAGGGUGUCUUUUCUGGUCUUAAAGAGUUUUAUUGUAGUGGAUGUAACAGUAUGAAGAAGUUGUUCCCACUUGAGUUGCUGCCAAACCUCGUAAACCUGGAAAUGAUUUAUGUUUGUGAUUGUGAGAAAUGGAGGAGAUAAUAGGAACAACAGAUGAAGAAAGCAGCACCUGCAAUUCCAUCACGGAGUUAAUACUCCCAAAGUUAAGAACUCUGAGAUUGCAUGAAUUACCAGAACUGAAAAGCAUUUGCAGUGCAAAACUGAUUUGCAAUUCUCUUGAAGAAAUUAGGGUAAUGUAUUGUGAGAAGCUGAAGAGGAUGCCAAUUUGUCUUCCGUUGCUUGAAAAUGGCCAGCCAUCUCCUCCCCCUUCUCUUAAAAAAAUCAAAGCAAUUCCAGAAGAAUGGUGGGAGCAUCCUAAUGCAAAGGAUGCCCUUCGUCCCUUUGUAAAGUUAGGGUAUUGUUAAUCCUUCCAUUGUAAGAAUACUAAUUGAUUGUAACCUUAAAUUUGCUGAUAUUCAAUAAUAUAUCAUUCUUUCAAUCAUUUUUGUUAAAAAUCAUGUGCAAAACAUAAUUAUUUUCGAUAUGAAUGAUGAAAAUAGUCCUUUAAAUCAACAAAGGAUAUUCUUAUUAAUUAAUAUUGAAAUUACUUGCACAAUUAAUCAACAAUGGUUUGAAAUGGUAUUGCCAAUUCCAUAUUUCAAAGAAAAAUCCAAAGAACGGAAAGCAUAAAUUAAGCCCAACACAUGAAUAUGAGCAGUACAUUAAAUUUAGUUGUUGUCAUAGAAAUUGUGAUAAUUAAAUUAAUACAACAUAGAAAGUUUGUUAAGCAAACUUGAUAAAUCUAAUUACACAAAUCUAACUUAAUACAUAUAAAAGUUAGUUUGUGAAGAUUGAAUACCUGGUCUUAAUUUGCCUCAUCAACUAGGCAGAGAGUAACAACGUACACCCUUUUAAAAUCAAAAGCUAAAUUAUUACUCUUUGAGGUUACUUAAAUUAAAUAUUGGUAUGUAGCUUUUAUUCAUUUAUUUUUAAAUAUUGACCUUAAAAAAAUAAUGAAUUUAUAAUUAAACCAAAUAAAAUAUUAAUUUGGUAAAAUUUGAUCGAUUCAAUCAAACCAAUCUAGUUCAUAUCAUACCAGAAUAAUAAAAAAACAAAAUAAUAUUAUUUUAAUAAAAAUAAUUAAUUUAAAUUAACUUAAUAAAUGACUCAUAAAUUAUUAAAUAUCUAAUAUUAUAUUAAAAAAUUAUCUUAAACCAAAUAAAUUAAGUAGACUUAAAAAUGUUAUAAUGUUACUUUCUGAUAAUUUAGUAAGGAUUUGGAGAAUGUAUAUUCAAAAACAAACUUUAUUAAAAGAUUAAGUUAUUUCAACAAUCUGAGUCCAUUAAGAAAUUGGUGGUAAAUCAUAACAAAAACAUUAUUUUUGAUAUUUUUAUUGGUAAAAUAUAGGUAUAAUCGUAGUACACUAUGUUGUCAAACAGGCAUAAGUCUUGAAUUUUUAUUUAUUUGAAAAUUGAAAAGGCAUGUAUACUAUUAUGGACUGAGAUAGUAUUUGAUAUUAUGAUAAUACUUAUUUUUUAAUAUAUUUUUUAUUUAAAUUUUAUUUUUUAAAUUUUAUUUUUUGUAUUAGUAUAUUAAAAUGAUAUAAAAAUACUAAAACAAAUUAAUAUAAAACAAAAAAUAUUCAAGUUUUUUAAAAAACAGGUAUUACAUUGAAAACAAAUAAUGUCUCAGUCAUAUAAUACAUCAAAAGUCUGUUUACUGUACCAAGUGAUUGUUGGCAAUCAAUUCCUGGAUCAAGACGAUAAGGUCCAGCCAUGGAGUAAUUGGAUUGAAAAAUAAAAUAAAAAUAAAAACUAAUAAUCUACAGAAUGGGUUCAUGUUAAUUGAGGAUGAGGUCUGAUGCUUUAAACCCUGAGGUAAAACCUCAUGCAGCUACCGACUUAAAUAUUUUCAUUUAAGGAAGUGCAGCGUUGUGUCCCGAGAGAGGCCACCAGGCAAAUACCAAGGUUAUUUUUUAUUUUAUAUUGUAAAUUUAUUUUUUAAAAAAUAAAUUUGUUUUGAUUUGAUUUUUUUUGAAUAUUUUCAGAUCAUUUUUAUAUAUAAGUAUCAAAAAUAAAUUUUAAAAAAUAAAAUAAAAUUAUUUUAAUAUAUUUUUAAAUUAAUAAUAUUUUAAAAAUUAAUCAUUAUUGUAAUUCUAAAUCGACGGUGCCUGUACCAAACUAUAUUAUCAACAAGAUUUUCCUUGUAUGAAUUAAAGCAUUCUGCAUUUGACACAACUUGAAAAACACGUUUCUUCUUAAAUUAUUAUACCUGUGUUUUUUUAAAUCUAAAUAUUUGAGAAUGUGGUUGUUAAGCGGCUAAGAUCUUCUGCAUCGGAUGUACAGGAACCGUAGAUAGACCAUUACCCAGCACCGCCAGAUACUCUCUCCAAUUUUUAUUAUCUUUAUUAGAGGGAGACUUCUUUUAUUUUUUUUCUUAUUUCAAUGCGUUGAUUAUAAAAUGAACGGACGGGAUUGGAUAUGAAUUAAGGGGAGAUGGAUUUUGUCAUUACUAUAUAUUACUCGAUUGAUUAAUAUUCAUAUAAGUUUAUUUACUAUUUAUUUUGUUAUUGGUUGGGCUUUUUGGUCAAAAUGUAAAGGGAGUGUUCUGUUGAGGUCCACUGAUGUUUCAAUUAUUCUCACACAGGAAAUCUAAAAAAUCUAAAGACCAGCCUUUUCUUUUUGUCUUGACAAAACUACCCUUGUGAAAAUCUAUAGUCUAUUUCUUCCUGUUAGAUAGGUUCCAGUGGUGUAGAACCACGUGUCCGACACAAAUUGCAGAGAGUGAGCCAACUGUUUAUGGCCUGUUUGUUUCUGACUUCUGUGUUUCAAAAACACUUUUAAUAAAAUUUAAUUUUUUUUAUUUUUUUAUUAACUUUAAAUUAAUAUAUUUUUAGUGUUUUCAAAUUAUUUUGAUAUGCUGAUGUCAAAAAUAAUUUUUAAAAAAUAAAAAAACAUCAUUGGCAUGCAUUUUGGCACGAAAAACUAUUUGAAAAGCAACCGCAACAAUACUGCUAAACAAGCUCUAUAAUGAUGAUGUCCGACUCUUUUUUACAUUAGAAAACGAAUUGCCUGUUAUUUUUAAAAUAUUUUUAAAAAAUUUAUUUUUAAUAUUAGUAUAUUAAAAUAAUAUUAAAAUAUCAAAAAAUAUUAAUUGGAAAUAAAAAAACAUUUUCAAAUUUAAAAAAAAAACUUUUAAAACACAAAAAUAAAUUCUUCCUAAAUUUUUUUUCAUAUUUUUCCAAUCUGUCCUUGCCAUAACUAAAAACCAGCUUGGAGGCUUGGCAGGGUUUGCAUCUGAUGAAGCUCAUCAAUAUAUAUAUAUAUAUAUGAUUUAUCCAGAAAUCCAUUUCAUAGAAUAGAAAAAUGGUUCGGUUUGAAGUUUGAUUCAUGCUAAUGUCUUGUCGUAAACAUGUCAAAAGUAAUCUUCUACCUCAGUGAAUUUGAGUACAGGUACUGCACACAAGAUGGAGCACUCUUCCCCUUUCCAACCUUGCUUAAUUCAUCAAAAUCUAAUUCUUGUUUAUCAACUCGGUUUGGGAAAAUAACUGAAAAACUCUGUUAAAUGAGUUCUACGAAGUAGUAGCACUGUAUGCACUAAGGAGAUCAAAUGAGGAAGGCUAAGAAUUAUGAUUCUUCCUCUGAGAGAUUAUGAACUGAACAUUCAUUUUCUAUUGAAUGAGUUUUGGUUCCUAAACCUGAAACUGUCAUCAUAAGCAAUAGCCAAGGAAGUUAGGAUGAGCUUUUUUUGUAAUUAUAUCACAUUUUUCUGCACAAUAAUGCUCUAUAUUUUUUGCUACUAUUGCUUAUAAUCUUCUUGUCUCUAGUAUCUUUUCCAACCUGUUUGAGGAAUGCUUUCUAAUUUUUUUUCUUGGAUUAUAAAUUUUGUGUUCACCUGCACAGUUGAACAGAGUUGACCUAGAAAUCUAGGAGUUAUUGGUGAUAGAGGAUCUGAGACUUAUUAUUCUAUAAAUUUUCUUUCUGAAUGCUGAGUAUUUUAUACGAUCAUGUGAUUGGGAAGAUUUGAUUCUCAUAUGAUUCUUGCCGGCUUAUUUGUGAGCCAAGAAGUAUUAUUGAAUAGAAAUACUUUCAUUCUUUAUUGUCGAAUUGGACAUUUAUUUCCUGAGUUUUCUUCUCCAUUUCAUUUAAUUUACGAAGCGUUUCAUAAUUGUUUUUUGAUUUUAUUAAAUUUUUACAUGAUAAUUUAUCAGAUAAUUUUAGCAGGAGUCCUUAUAUAUGUAUACCGGUGAUCAGAAAGUCAUUCCCAUAAAAAAGAUGAAGUAGUAUGAACAAUUUUAUUGUUAUUUUUGGUUUCUGCUAACGAUUUAUUUGAUGAUUAAUAUCGAUUUAUUUCCACUUUCUAGUAUACCAUAGUAGCCUAGGUGUGUUUUUUCCGAAAUGGUUAUGAGCAUUUUUCCAAUCUGCUGGGGGUGAUGUUGGUGGGCUUGGGCUAAGAGCAUGGUUAUUUUUUCCAAUCUGCUUGGAUACAAGGCCGUCAAAAAAAGGUUCAUCGUAUCCCUAGCUAGUUGGGUGUCUCAUUUCUAGCUGGCUACGUUUAAGUUUUAUUUUUUUAAUCGUCAGAUAAUAAUAUAAAAAUUUUAAUGAUCAAAUGAUAGUUAAAAUUUUAUCAUUCUUAUUUAUUUAAUAAAAUUAAGUAUAAAAUAAUAUGAAAUUGAGUAAAUUUCAAGUCCAAAGAGUUUUCACUUGAGGGGGUAUAUUGAAAAAUAAUUUAAAUUAUAUUUUGAAAUCUUACCUAACACUUUAAACUUUUAGAUUGAAAUGGUUAUUUGAUAUGAUAUUAAAGUCUUAAUGACUAAACGUUCAUGAAUUUGAAUUUCAUCAUCCUUAUUUAUUUGAUAAAAAUUAAGUAUAAAAUAAUAUGAGUUUGCAAGCCUAGUUCAAAUCUCACAUCUUUAUUUAUUUAAUAAAAAUUAAGUACAAGACAAUAUAGAUCUGUAAGUCUAAAAGAUUUUUAGUUGAAGAAGUGUUUUAAAAAAUAAUAUAAAUUAUAUUUUAAAUUUUUUUAAUAAUUUAAAUUAUUAAAUUAAAAUAAUUAUCAUGAUAAUGACAUAAAGUCAAUAGCAGAACAGCAGGAAAAUGACAGGCUAGAAUGUUCAACUCAUGAAUGCUAGAGUUAAGACAGUACUCGCUACAACUUAAACAGAGCUUAGCACUCUAAUUCUGCAGAGAUUUAUAUUCCAUUAAGCAUUUUUUUCCCCUUUCAGACAUGAACGACACCUGGAUCAGUUCUUGGGGCCAAAAUUAGAUUUCUAGUGGAAGAUAACUAAAACUAAUUUUUCUUUCUUUUGGUGACCAUUUAUAGAUAUCAUCACUGCAAUGAAUAAACAUGGUCCCAUUGAUGUAAAGGGACGGACACCAACCUUUUUGGCUAGACAGAGUCUGGUUGAUCUCUUAAAUGGUGCGAGCCACUUGCAUAAGAGAUGACAACUUUACACUUACCCUUUAAUUAUGGUCCCAUUGAUGUAAAGGGACGGACACCAACCUUCAUAACUUGUGAGCUUCAAAUACGAACCAGGGUUAUUAUUCUCUCUUCUUCUUCUUUUUUUUUUUUUUUAAUCAUGAAUUAUGGUACUAUCUAAUUUUAUUCUUUUUUUAUUAUUAUUUUAUAGUUUUUUUUCACAUUAUUUUUCAAUUAUGUCUCAAGUUUUUUUAUUUUAUUUAAUUUGAUCCUCAUUUUUUUUAUUGUUUUUUUUUUAAUUUUUUUAUUCAAUCCCUCAUUAUUUUCCUUCAUUUAGUUUUUAUACUAAAUUUGAUCCUUAAAGUUUUGAUUACUAUUUGAUUUAUUUUUUAAAAAAUAAAAUUAGAUGAUUAGAAAUUUAGCUUCGUGAUUUUUUUUGUGUUGCCUUCUAUGAGGCGAUAUUGGUCUCAUAACCCGAGUUUCAAAGAUUAGUUCAAUUUACCUUUAGUUUUUUUUAAAGUUAUUUACAAAAAAAAUGAUUUUUUUUUCAAUAUCCUUCAAUAUUGGGUUACUGGGCCUUGAGUUUUAUGAUUUUUUUACAUGCAGGCUUAUCCCGGUCAUGAUUUGGCAUCCUAACUCGAGUCGUGUUUUUUAUUCUUUUUUGAAAUUGAUGUUUUUUUCCAGUUUAUUUUUCAACUUUUGUUUUGCUGGUAAGCAUCAUAUUUCUUUUAUUUUUCUUUUCAUGAGGUUAUCUUAUUUUCAUUGAAUUUUUAUGUUGUAAUCAAAUAAGAUCGUUAAGACCUUUUUAAAAAUAUUUAGAGCGUAUCUUUUUAUAAUAUUGACAAGCGUUCAUUUUUUAUGAUUAAUUAUUUUUUUAAUCAUUUAUAUAUUUAUAUAUAUAAUUAUAUUAUUAAGUUAAUCGAGUUUAUUAAGUUCAAUCAAAUCAAUAACCCGGAUUUGAAAUUUUUUUUUGUUGCUUUUAGAAAGCUGCUAUUAUUAGGAUAUCUUUGUUAUUUUAACAAAAAUAAUUCAAAAAACAGCGUAGCACUACGCACAUAGGCACCCACCACUUUAGCAAAUUGGAUAUACCACUUGCUUCAUUGGUUUGGAUAAGGGCUAGCUUCGUACAGAGAAAAAAAUGAACAAAGGUACGCAGUAGAUGAAGAAGAUUGAUUUACUGCAAUUAUUGUCAAAAUACAAACGUGAGCACAAUAAUUUAAUUUGUACAGGAUGCUUUUAUAUAUAGAGUAGUAAUUUAAUUAUUGCUUUUUCAUCACUUAUUUCUUUCCAUGAAUCCAAUAUUCCUUAUUUAUAUAUAUAUUGAUUGUUUCUGAUACAAGGUAGCUGUAGUUUUCUUCUAUAAGAGGUCUACCAUAGCUGUAGUUUCCUUCUUUGAGAAGUAACCGUUGGUUGAGAUAGCUGUUGAUUUCUUAUUGAUUUAUCUUUGAUCUGCCACAGUUAUGAUUUCCAUGUAUGUUUGAUUACAAUUCUAAAUAGUAGCCGUUGGAGGUGUUAAUUCAUAUUGUGUUAAUUCAUACUGCUGUUGUCUCCUGCUGCUGCUGCAGAGGUGUUGUGUUGCUGUUAAUACCUGUUGGGGAUUCCGGCACCCCCAUGCGCGGACCGGGGGUGUACUGAUAUUUGCUCAUAGGAGGGUAAAGCACACUGACACAAUAUUUUACGUGGUUCGGCAAAACCGCCUACAUCCACGGGAGAGAGUCCAUAUUAUUAGAGAUAUAUAUAGAGAAAGGAUUACAACAUACAUGGAGGAGGAGGAUCACUUCACUCAAACUCAACUCCCAGCUCUUUUGCUGCACUUGCAGCUGCUGCAAUGGCAGCAAGGCUGCUGCCAUUGCAGCUCUCUUUCUCUCCACUCUCUUGCACACACUCACGUUCUCUCUCUCAUUUUGCUCUCACAUAAUGCCUCUAUUUAUAGGCAUUUCAUGGCAGCUGUUCCACUUGUUCUGCUGUCAAACAUGGCUGCAAGGUUAGGCAUGGUAGGUUGCCUAACCAUGGAAAAUGGUGGCUGCCAAUAGUCAAUGGUUGGUGCCAACCAUUUGCUGCACAUGCAAUGGCAACAACCCAACAAUCACCCCCUUUGCCAUUCAUGUGGGGCAACUGUCCUCUUGCUUCUUCAUCACAGGCUUGCAUCUUGCAGCUCUUCCAAGCUUACCAUUCUGAGAGCAUCUUCGGCUAAGUUUACAUGGUACUCGCCAAACCUUUCAAUCACCAGAGUCACCAAAGCACACCUUUUCUCACACAAAAGGAUCACUACAACCAGAUGGUCUGUCACUUCACAUCUGAAGAGUGUUAACGCUUGUCUCUGGGACACACUGCAUUCCCCUUCGAGCGUAUCAACCAUGCUCGGUCCGGAAUGAUUCAUCAAGCCUUACACCAAGGCUUACAACACCCCCUCAAACGAAAAUUUCUAUUUCCAAGUGCGACAGUCAUUAUCUGAGUAUCUCAAUAUGAUCACGAGCUCACCACUCUUCCAAGAGUCUACUCAUCCAGGAGUUGCGCCUGCCCUCUGUUCCACCCUAGGAACCACACCUUACUUCUCCGUGAGUCUCUCGCUCUUAGUCUCAAGAGUCCAGGUAGCUCUCCACCUUCACCUAUAGGGGCAGCCCAUUAAAGGUUGAUCCAUAUAUGUCUUGAUACUGAGUAUUACAAUGCCUUUACUGAGCUCACCACCUUGACAAGAGUCAACUUGUUCAGGGAACCUGCACAUGCCCUCUGCUCCUUCAUAGCAGCCGCGUCUUAAUGCUCCACAAGUCACACACUUAUUGUCCAAGGCAAAUGUCUUCUAGCUCAUUGAUCUUUAGCAUGGGGGCAAUAUCCAUGAAAGUCAAUCCUGCAUUUGUCUUCAUACUCAUCAUAGCCACUUCAUUGGCUAUCCAUACACUUGUCCACUCAUAUCUAGCCAUUACAUUGGCUCUGGGGCGUUCUGAAUUUGGGCUCCUAUCGUGGCCCAUACACCUUCUCUAAGGUGUCUUCGCCCGUUGCCGUAGGGCGGUCUGAAUUGGGCUCCUAUCAUGGCCCUCACACCUUCUCCAAGGUGUCUUCGCCUGUUGUCGUGGGGCGGUCUGAACUGGGGCUCCUAUCAUGGCCCUCACACCUUCUCCAAGGUGUCUUCGCCCGUUGUCAUGGGGCGGUCUGAUUUGGGGCUCCUUUCAUGGCCCUCACACCUUUCAUUUAAGGUGUCUUCGCCUUUCAUAGGCGGUCGCAUCCUCCUUCAGCUGAGAUGCUUCAAAGUGGCUCUAAAAGUCUCUACCACCAUGUGGACUAUGGGAGAGAUAACUGCCACUGAUUACAUAGAAAGAGAAACUUGCGGUAUACUCCUCGCAAUCCUCCACCUCGAUUUCUAUGUUUGGAGCUUCUGUGUCUUUCUGCUUGACAGCUCCACCUACACCAACUCUCUUUGGUGUCUUCGCCUUUCAUCAUAGGCGGUCGCCUUUUAUCACAAGCGUUUGCACCCCCUCAAUUAAGUGCAUCUGCAACAGCUCUCUUUCCAUCCUUGCAUGCAUUGGAAAGGUCUUCGCCUGUUGUCUUCAUCAAGAGCAUAAGAGACUUCCUGUUGUACAAACUUUAACAGUCUCUGCUCUAAGCUUCAUCUGGGAACACUUCUUCUCCUUGCACCUAUUGUCUCAUUAUAGUACCUCAUUGGAUCCUACGGGUACUCCUGCACAAUCUCCGUGUGCCCUCGUGCAAUUUCUGUUCUCCAGAUUUUUCCCCUAUUCCUUGCUUAUGUUUGACAGCAGCUCAUCCUGUCAUAACACCUAUCCAAGUCAAAAUAGGGUGCCAAUCUUUAUCCCUUGCCGUAUUUCUCUACCAUUAUCAGGGUCUUCAUCAAUAUUUGUUGUGCAUACUGGACCGAAAGCAAACACAAAAAUAACACAAACAAGCAGAUUUACGUGGUUCCCAAAACCGGGUACGUCCACGGAGGCAGCAGAUUGUAUAUUAAUGGAGGAAUGAUACAAACACUCAACUCAACCCAAUACAACCCACAAAAACCAGUGUUUCACUCUUACACUCGUUUCUCUCAAAUCUACACUUGCACUCACUCUCACAGUUGCAUUCACUUGCACUCACCACUGCACUCUCUAUGUCUUCUCUCGUCUCUCUUCUUCAUAAACUUGUCCUCCAGUGCUUGCCAUAAUUCCUUUGUAGAGUUUUGUUCUGAAAAGGCGUACUUCUGAUCCUUUACAAGACAAAGUCGGAUGGAACUGCAAGCCAACCGAUUUAUCCUUUCCCAGCUUUUAUCAUCCAAAUCCUCCGGUUUAUCUUCUAAAGUGAAAUCCAAAUUCAUUUGGACAAGCAUAUCCAUGACUUCACAUUUCCACAUGCCAAAAUUAUCUUUCCCAUCAAACUUCUCCACCUCAAAUUUGGUAUUCGAUACCGGGAUGUAUUGUGGAGGUAUACUAGCAUUCCCCGCUGAUUUUUCUUCUGGAAUAUCAGCCAUUAGGACGUCUUUGGAUUACAAAUGGAAUCCCGAAAUUGUUAAAACACACACUUUUAUGCUCAAAAGUGCCAAAACAGUAACUUCGGUAUGCUAUUUAACAAAACGGACACCACGGUUGCGUCCGGAAUGGUUGAAAAUGCUAGGAACCAACUUGACUCGGCCAAAAACGGGUCAAAAAAUCACUGAGUUGGCCAAAAAACCAAUCUGACCGAGUUGACUCAGGGAAGGAAUAUUCUGUCUCUGAUAAAGAAUAUUCUGUCACGGGAAUAUUCUCUUACUGGUAACGGAAUAUUCUUAUUCUGUCAAGAGAAUAUUCUGUCACUGUUAGAUGACAUGGCUGAUGACGUGUCUGAUGACAGGGCGAUGUGGCCCCUCUGUUGAUGACGUGGAUGCUGACUCAGCGCCUACGUGUCGGAUGACGUGGCUGUCUUCUCAGACGAGAAUUCCGGCAAUGACUGGUUUUUCCGGCAGAUUUCCGGCGAAACUUCGGCGAGCUCUACAGGGCUCGUUUCAACUCCGAUUGCGACGAUCUUUAUAUCGCCGGACUCGUAUGAACGAGAGGAAUCUCCGCAGCUGGUCAAAAGCAAGAUCUGAGAACUUUGAAAAUUCUGCAACUUUGAACAGAGAGCUAAAAAACGUGUUUUUCUGCGUUUAAGCUUCCCUAAUGCUCUGAUACCAAUUUGUUGUGCAUACUGGACCGAAAGCAAACACAAAAAUAACACAAACAAGCAGAUUUACGUGGUUCCCAAAACCGGGUACGUCCACGGAGGCAGCAGAUUGUAUAUUAAUGGAGGAAUGAUACAAACACUCAACUCAACCCAAUACAACCCACAAAAACCAGUGUUUCACUCUUACACUCGUUUCUCUCAAAUCUACACUUGCACUCACUCUCACAGUUGCAUUCACUUGCACUCACCACUGCACUCUCUAAGCUUCAUCUGGGAACACUUCUUCUCCUUGCACCUAUUGUCUCAUUAUAGUACCUCAUUGGAUCCUACGGGUACUCCUGCACAAUCUCCGUGUGCCCUCGUGCAAUUUCUGUUCUCCAGAUUUUUCCCCUAUUCCUUGCUUAUGUUUGACAGCAGCUCAUCCUGUCAUAACACCUAUCCAAGUCAAAAUAGGGUGCCAAUCUUUAUCCCUUGCCGUAUUUCUCUACCAUUAUCAGGGUCUUCAUCAAUUCUCCCCUCGAGAAAUCACAGUCACCGAAUCUAACUUCUUUGGAUAAAUCACCACUUCAUCAGAUCCUUGAUCAUACGGAACCCAACUGUUCCCUUGUGCCGUCAUCCUGCUAGUCUUCAACUGUUUCAUUACAAACUGCUAUAUAUACGAAAAUAGUACCGUAUGGAUAAUCCUUCCACUAAGCAAGUUCCCAGGAAAGAUUGGAGGGGUCACACUGGUCCCGCUUAAAACCCAAUCUCCUAGACAGAACUUCUUAGGCCAUAUCUAUCCAUCGUACUGUCUUUCCGUAUAUACAACCAUUUGCUAGCUUUGUCCCGGCCUUCCUUUACAAGUGAUCUGGAAUAUACUGGUUUAAUACAUGAUUUCUCAACAUCUGGUGAGACUACCAGUUCUUAGAUUCGUCAAGAUUGGUCUUCGUCAAUUUCCACUCUUCACCUCAAAUUGUCCACAUGAUCGGGUGUCCAGAGUGUCCCAAUUUUGCCUUCCUUCAAAGCAAUUAAAAUUCUCCCCACUUAGCAUUUUAGCACAUAUAAUUGGGUAAACAUGUGCACCUUCUUCUUCUUCAUCAUCAUCGACCACCACGAUGACCUUUAGAUGCCUCCUAAUCGGGCAAUCUCUUUUGUUAAUUCACCACCACCACUUUUGGUCUCAAAUCUCAAUGAUCGGACCGUACCAUUGCAUCCGGAACGAUCAAAUUAGCUGGAAACAAGUCUGAAAUCGUCCAAAUCGCAUUUCAGACGGCUAAGAUUUGAUCAAAACAAUUCUGGCCUGAUGAACGGCCCAGAUUCAAUCUCAGAUCCGGUUGCACGUAGACUCCGCUGCACAGAAUCUUAUCCUUUGGCUCGCGGCUCGGCUCGGCUCCUUUUUGGCUCAGCUCGGCUCAACUCAGCUCGGCUCAGUUCGGCUUGAGUCUGGUGACGUGGCAGGUGGGUCCCACUUUGGUGACGUGGCUGUUGACUGGACGCUGACUGGUCUAUGACGUGGCUGCUGACAUGGCAUGCCUACUGUGCAUGCUGACAUCACACUUACAUCAGGCUGAUGUCAUCCCUGGCAUGCCUACUGUGCAUGCUGACAUCACAAUUAUGUCAUGCUGACAUCAUUCAUAUCCGGGUCAGUCACAUGGGUCGGGUGAACUGGUAUUCGGGUCGCGUGGCACGCGUGGGGCGCGUCUGCGCGCAUGGGCAGACGCCUUGCCGGAGAGUGAUGGAGAGUGCGGCCAUGUCCGACGUCCGAUUUUGACGCCGUUUUCACCAGUGGCUUCGUCUUGACCUCCUCUACACAGUGGUAUGGUCAAAACACAAUUUUGACAACUUUCAUUUUUGAGCAAAAAUCAAACACCCCUUUAAACCAUCAGCUCUGAUACCAAUUGUUGGGGAUUCCGGCACCCCCAUGCGCGGACCGGGGGUGUACUGAUAUUUGCUCAUAGGAGGGUAAAGCACACUGACACAAUAUUUUACGUGGUUCGGCAAAACCGCCUACAUCCACGGGAGAGAGUCCAUAUUAUUAGAGAUAUAUAUAGAGAAAGGAUUACAACAUACAUGGAGGAGGAGGAUCACUUCACUCAAACUCAACUCCCAGCUCUUUUGCUGCACUUGCAGCUGCUGCAAUGGCAGCAAGGCUGCUGCCAUUGCAGCUCUCUUUCUCUCCACUCUCUUGCACACACUCACGUUCUCUCUCUCAUUUUGCUCUCACAUAAUGCCUCUAUUUAUAGGCAUUUCAUGGCAGCUGUUCCACUUGUUCUGCUGUCAAACAUGGCUGCAAGGUUAGGCAUGGUAGGUUGCCUAACCAUGGAAAAUGGUGGCUGCCAAUAGUCAAUGGUUGGUGCCAACCAUUUGCUGCACAUGCAAUGGCAACAACCCAACAAUACCCUCCCUCAAACGUUGCUGAGGUUGGAGGCAAAGUUUGCGCUGAAAACAAAGGAGAGUAGCUUUGGACACCGGCUUAGUAAACAGGUCAGCGAUCUGAUGUGUAGUGGGAAUAUGAUGUGUAAUAAGUUUCCCAAGAGAUACGCGUUCGCGUAUAAAAUGAUAAUCAAUUUCAAUAUGCUUGAUGCGAGCAUGGAAAACAGGAUUGAUUGUCAUAUGGAGCGCAUUAAGAUUAUCACAAUAAAGCACUGGUGGAGAUACCAAGGGAAUGUGUAAAUUAUGAAGGAUGUAGGUCAACCAGGUAAGUUAUGCGGCUGUGUUGGCCAUAGCACGAUAUUCAGCUUCAGUGCUAGAGCAUGAAAUGAUAUGUUGUUUAUUGGCACAUCAAGAGAUGAGAUUACUUUCAAGAAAGACACAGUUGCCAGUGGUAUAACGUUAUAUAGUAAGACAGCCAGCCCAAGGAGAUGAGAUUUAUAUUCCAUUUAGCAUUUUUUCCCCCCUUUCAGACAUGAACAACACCUGGAUCAGUUCUUGGGGCCAAAAUUAGAUUUCUAAUGGAAGAUAACUACAACUAAUUUUUCUUUAACCAUUCAACUCGUUUGGUGACCAUUUAUAGAUAUCAACACCUGGAGUUCUAUUUCGCCACUUGAUGGAAUGGAUAGAUUAAUGUACGACCUUAUUGGCUAGACAGAGUCUGUUCGAUCUCUUAAAUGGUGCGAGCCACUUGCAUAAGAGAUGACAACUUUACACUCGCCCAUUAAUUAUGGUCCCAUUGAUGUAAAGGGACGGACACCAACCUUCAUGACUUGUGAGCUUCAAAUACGAACCAGGGUUAUUAUCCUCUCUUUUUUUUUCAUUAAUUAUGGUACCAUCCAAUUUUAUUUUUAGUUUUUAGUUUUUUUAUUUUUGUUUUCUAUGGGGUGAUCUUGGUUUCACAACCCGAGUCACGAGUUUUAAAAAUUAGUUUGAUUUACUUUUAGUUUUCAUGAUUUUCUUCGUUUUUUUAUAGGGUUAUUUCGGUCUAAUAUCCUGGGUCACGAGCUAGUCGAGUUAACCUAGGUUGACACUUAUUUUUUUUUUUUUUUCAGUUUUGCCUUUCAUUAUUUAGUUUAUUUGAGAGUUGAACUCUAUUGUUUUAUUUGAUUUCUUAUAUGCAGGCUUAUCCCCGUCAUAAUUUAGCAUUUUAAUUCGAGUCGUGUUUUUUAAUUUUUUUUUAAUUGAUGUUUUUUUCUAGUUUAGCAAAUUAAAUAUCCCACUUGCUUCAUUGGUUUGGAUAAGGGCUAGCUUCAUACAAGCCCCCAACUUAUAACCAAUUCUCGAUUGGGACCUUAUUGUUUUCUUUAGUGACGUCUUUAAUGCAUAAAACAUUCUUAGUUUUGCCUUGUAUUCAAAUCCGUCGAUGAUUUCUAUUUAAAAGCUGUUUUUUGAAAAAAAAAAUAAAGAAAAGAGAGAACUGGACAUCUUUUAAAAGUUUGUAACAAUCUUACAUGAAAGGACUAAAUUGAGGAUUGUCAUAGAAUGAUGUGUUAAUUUAAGAGCUUUACCCACUAGUUGCGGAUAACACAAAUUGCCACUGAUGAAUCCCACGGCAUAUGUUCAUAUGCAAUGCCUAUGAAAACACGACUUGCUUACACAAGCAACAAACAUCACAUAAAUUUCUCUCUUGGCCACACGAUUCUUGGACUUUUGGCUUAUUCAUCAACACCAGUUGUUCAAUGGUCCCAUUAAUUCAAUAACCACUGAAAUUUCUAAGGAAUGCUCAAUAUUUUCUCUCUAUAAUCUCAUCCAAGGCCUUCGUGAAAGACACAACGGGGAGACUUUAGCCAUCAAAAAGCUAAGUCUACGUAUAAUUUUCCACNNNNNNNNNNNNNNNNNNNNNNNNNNNNNNNNNNNNNNNNNNNNNNNNNNNNNNNNNNNNNNNNNNNNNNNNNNNNNNNNNNNNNNNNNNNNNNNNNNNNGUAUCAGUUUGUCAAUAGGACUCAUAUGGUCAGGUAGGUGCCCGCGGGAAAUUUUCCACUGCAACUUAUUGGACAAUUCUUGAUUCCUUGCAGUCAAUCUGGGAAGCCUUUCGGCUGUCUUUUACACGUUAAAAUUUAGUGGGAGGAUAUUCUCGUAGAGACUGGAAAUGUCUUGGCACGGAUUUGGACUAACACGAAUCACUAGCACAUGUACAUUUCAUGGCCUAGCUAAAAAUUGCCAUCAAAGUCACUAUUAUCUCGAGAAGUAGUAGAAUUUCCUAGGCUUCACGCUGCUACCUUUUGAUUUGGCAAAAUUUUGUUCAAUUUAAUUCAUUAAAAAUAAUUGAAACUUCCAAGAUCAAAUAUGAUAUUGAAACCAGAAAGUAGCCUAGGUGUGUUUUUUAAAAUUUUGAUCCCUAAAGUUUUUGCAUUUUGCAUUUUGAUUUUGAUUUUUAAUUUUGAUCUAAAAUUUUAUUUUAUUUACUUUUUAGUUCAUGAAUAUGAGAUUAAAAAAAUCACCGAAAAACUUGAAAAAAGAUAGAAAGUUAUUGGUUGAUAAUUUCCGGACAAAAAAAAAGAGAUCUUUGUAUUAAUGGAGAAUUGAUGUGCAGAUUGGAUAGCAAAUCAUAAGGGUAUGUUUGAAAUUAUAGUAGUGAUUGCGAUUCAAAGUAUUUUUCGUUUAGAAAUGUUUUAAAAUAAUAUUUUUAUUUUUAAAAAAUUAUUUUUGAUAUCAGCAUAUUAAAACGAUCUGAAAAUAUAAAAAAAUAAUUUUUUAUUUUUUAAAAUUUUAAAAUUUAAGAGAACGCAUUUUGCACCGCGUUCCCAAACAGACCCCGGUAGAUCUUGAAGUUUCCUACUGCACUGAAGCUCCCUCUUGUUGUUUGAAGCAAAUGCUUGAUUGCGUUCCUGGGGUUUCUACCCCCAGAAUAUGAAGUUAUUUCCUAAUGAAGGCUUUCUGCCCUCUCUCUAAUAAACUGAAAAACGGCAACAUUCAUUUUCUAGCCCAGCAGUGGUUCCUCUAGCCUUCUGCUAUCUGCCUAGCUGUGAUAUAAAACAAUUUGAGUCCAUAUUUGAAGGGAUAGCUGUUUCUUCAAUCUAUUUGGACAGUAUAUCAUCUUCUGCUGCUGUGAUUAUUAAAGCCUUGUCAAUAAUUACAGAUUAUAGCAUCCACGAGGAUGACGUUCCUUCAAUUUUUCUCUACAGUCAAUCUUUUUCCUUGACAAGCACAGGCAGGCAAUAUUAGUGGUAAAAUUUGGGAUGUUAUAUUCCUUGACAAGCACAGGCAAUAUUAUUGAUUCAACUUUCCAAAAUGUAUUCUUUAGCCACCACAAAGCUUCACACACACACGAGUGUGGUUCAAAGUAAAAGUUAAAGAUAAGAGCAUAUGUAAUUUUUUUAUUUUUAAACAUUUAUUUUUAACAUUAAAAUAUCAUAACAAUUUAAAAAUAUUAAAAAAAUUAAUUUUAAAUAAAAAAUAUCAAGUUUUUUAAAAAACAUGAUUCGACUGUGAAAUUAUUAUUAUUUUUGUCAGGGUGUUGGUUGUUCUAGGUAGGGCCGGAAAGGUCACGGAAUGGAGAGUCACUGAGAAGUGAUAACCAUUAACCAUGACAUGGCUCAAAUGAGUGAGGCUAAUUAAAAGUUUGUAAAAUUGUAUCAAUUAACUGUUUGUAAUUAAUAUUUUUGAAUUGUUUUUACGUGACAAUAUAAAAAAUAAUUUUUUUAAUAUAUUUUUAAAUAAAAAAUAUUUUUUUAAAAAAAAAACCUUCAGACAAUGCAGAAAUAUGCUAUUCUUUCUCGUAUUCAUGUGUUUACAUUUUCUUGGCAGCUUCUUCGAAGUGUCAACAUUGGGGCGGGUCCACACGUUAACUUUCUAUAUCUUAUAAUUAAUUAAUUAACUGUCUAUUAAUGUAAAGUUUGGGUUGCUUCCUGGCAACUUCCUUCCUUCCUAUCAAACAAUACGUUAAUUAAUUAAUUAUUAUUGAGGCGACCUUACUAAUAAAUAAUAGUAUGUAAGGGAGCUAGCGGCUGUACUGUAACAUUCUCUCUCAUUAUACAAUUCCCUAUUUACCUUCCUUAUUAGGGAAUCCAGCUAGCACUUGAAGAUUCAAACCAUAGUAUGUAUAUGGUUUGAAUCUUUAAAGUAAUCCAUCAUAAAUAAAUCGAUCUUUUUCACUGAUUUUGUAAUCCAUGCCCUUGUGGUGUUCAUACUAAAUCAACCCUAAACCUUGAAUUCAUUGUUUUUGUCUUUUCAAGAUUCUUUGCUGUUUUUAACUCCUUAUAUAUGGGAUUUCUUUUCCAAUACUAGAUUUUGUAAUCCAUGCCCUGUGGGACUGCCAUUAAUUAUUUUUAUCCAAUAUUUUUCUGACAUAAUGAUUCAAUGAAAUUGUCUCUUACUGAUUCAUGAAUUAACUUCAUCAGUAUUAAUUACCUUUCAUUAAACUUGUUUACAACAAGUGACAAAUAAUUUAGCAACAUUUAUAUUUCCUAUUUUUCAUCCGAAUUUCUUUAACAAAUAAAUAAGUCAUGUAUAUAUAUAUUCUUAUCUAAUCUGCGCUUUCUGUUCUUUUUUAAACCUCAGAUGGAAGGAGUCCCACCGUCUUGUAAUGAGGAUGAUGUCAACUUGACAUCGAAUCAGUUCGAUAUUCAAUCACCAGAAGAUUCAUUCAAUAUAUCUGAGCUUCUCUCGUACGUCAUUCUUAAGCAUAUUUUAUCAGAAGAUGAUUACUUGCAAUUUAGUUAUUCUACAGUUUUUCUUAUUAUUCCCAUAAAAGAAUAAUGUUCCUAAUAACAAAUUAAGCAGGUCGCCACCGGAGGUUCCAGGCAACCAAAGCUUCAUGUUAUGCAAUGUUCAUGCUGGUCAGAACAUGGUGGUGGAUAACAAUGUGAUCAACGAUAGUAUUCAACAAACAACUGAUCAGUUUCCACCUUCAUUUCAUCAAACCAUGGUGAGUGCUCAUGCCUACUCCAAUUUGCUACAAUGUCCAUUGAAUUAGCAAGUGUUUGUAUCACCCAUUGGAUCAAAAAGUUUUAUGUUUUCGUGUAUUAAUUUAUCUCGAGCAUCUUCAAAAUGUUUAUUGUUAAACAAACAGACAACAAUGGGAGAUUUAGAUGGAACAUCAUCGUCAUGGAUCAACCAAAAUGAACCAAAUUGGCCUCAAGCUCCACCAAGGUACAUAAUAUUCAUCAUUAUUUAACUUCUUCUUCCUGUUCACACUAAAUGAAUUCAUUAUAUUUGAAUAUAGGUGUUAGCCUAAUCCUAAUUUAUUUGAUCCUCAAUGUGCCAAUCCUUUGAGGUAAGCUAAAAUGAUAUCAAAUGCUUAGUGGAUUAAUAGCAAAGAAUUAUGCCUAUGUAUAAAGAAAUUACUAACAAGUGUUGCUAAUUUAGGGACCAACAAUUGACUAAUUAUCAGUUACCAAUUAUGAGCAAUCAAGUGCCUGCAAUGCUACCUGGACCUCAACCUCCAAUGAAUCAAUGGUAUUAACCUCGAAUAUAUAUACACUUUUUUAAUCAUGAAAAUAAUAAAAUUGACCAAAAUUGACGAGGAUCUUUCGAGUCUUUCUGAGCUCUCUAUCUCUCUUCUUUUUUUGUGCACAUAAUGGAACUAGAAAAUCAACCAAGUUAGAAUAACAGUUCUAAGUUUAACUAUUUGAAUAUUAUUCAGGCAUCAGUACUCCAAUAUUCAUCAACCACAGCCGGGACAUGGCUAUAUGACACCGAACGCAACCACUUCAGAACAUGGUGGCUUCAUUCAACCUGGACCUUCUUUUCCUGCUCCCCGGUAUCCAAUUUUUCACGUUUAGUAUUUUCUAUAAAAAAAAAAUAGUUUUUCAAUCAGGAAGGAAACAUCAUAGCUUGAACAUGAACCCAACAAGCUAAACAUAUUGUUUGCAAAUGAUUUUGGAUUCAGGAGUCAAUAUUUUUCUAAUCAAGGACAAGUCGAUCAAGCUGCUGUAAUUCCUAACAUAGACAAUGUGCAACAAGAGAACUUCGUGCCUAGGUACUGAUUGACUUCUAGCUGUUGUGUUUUAACACCAUUAACUUUUACUGCUUAAGAGAGACUACCAAUUAUGGAAAGGUUUUAUAAUAUGAUCACUUCAUUUAUAUAUAGGUCACAGAUGGAUAACCUCCAAGUUCGAGGAUUGCAAAAUCAAACUGCUAGGCCAAAUGCCUCAAAUCCCGGCCUUGGCACUUCCCUGCAAAGUCAAAAUAGGGGUUUAAAUGCUCAACAAGUAAGAAGUCUAACUGAAUUAUCGUCGUCUUUUUCCCUCCUAUGAUUGUGCAAUAAACUAACUAUCAAUUUUAAUAGCAAAGUAAGGGUAACAGCACUGAAGAAGUAGUUUCUCAUCCAUCUGGAUAUGGUGUAACUUGCAUCAAUUUUUAUUCUUUAUUUUGACUGAUUUUUAUUCUAUAUUUUGACCCCCCUUUUUUUUUCCCUAUAUAUAGGUUGAAAUGGGUGGAUUAUAUGAUCCAUUUUGGAAUUAUGUUGAAAAAAGUGCUGAUGAUGGUAGCAUGAAGUGUAAGUUUUGUCCACAUACAUACGCCAUUAAAACUUCCAUUUCAAGGAUCAAAUGGCAUUUAUCAGCAGAAGAAGGGCAUGGUGUUGCCAUUUGUCGUGGGGUGCCUAAAGAAAUUCAAGAAGCAGCCUGGAAAGCUAUGUGUGGUGGCAACAAAAGACAUAAAAGCACAGCAAGUUCAGUCAAUGUUAAUGACUGUGGAAUUUCAACAAUGGUAGGAGGUAUUGGAAGGGUACAAAGAGAAGUUCAGGUUGUAGAACCCGGAGUAGGGGAACAGAGGAUUUCUUCACAUGCAAUAGCAGGAAACGACGUAGUAAGCAUGACCGGAACGAGAGCACGAGAAGAUAGAGUUUCCAAAGGGGCACUCGAGAGCAGACGGAGGACAGAACUAGUGGAUCGAGCGUUGGAACAAAACACUGGUGAAGGAUCUUUUCGGCAUGAUGCAUUUGAGACUGUACCAAGAACAGAGCAAGAGCAGCUUCUGGAGCCUCGAGGAGAUGCAUCCCAAUUUUGUCUUGACUCUGGAAUAUGUUAUGAUCAACCUUGUGCUCCAUCAGUAAACAAUGAUGUAAAUAGGCAUGAUGCACAGGACAUGGUUAGAGUGAGGACACAACCAGUGGAGAAUAGUGGAAGAUCAGUAGUGCAGGCUGGCCCAGGAGCUAGAUCUUCUGAAAGUCUGAAAAACAACAAGACUAGAGGAGUUCCAUUACCUACUAGCUCUAUAAAGGUGGGUCAAGCAUUUGAAGAGAAUAAGAAGGUGAUAUGGUCUUCGUUAAUGGAUGAUGAAGUCCCAACCAUUGGCAUUUAUGGGAUGGGAGGAGUUGGUAAAACAACAAUAAUGCAACAUAUUUAUAAUGAGCUUCUACAAAGACCAGAUAUUUGUGAUCAUGUGUGGUGGGUGACUGUGUCUCAAGAUUUCAGCAUUAAUAGAUUGCAGAAUUUUAUUGCUAAACAUCUUCAUCUAGAUCUUUCAAGCGAAGAUGAUGUUCAGCUCAGACCUGCCAAAUUGUCAGAAGAACUAAGGAAGAAACAAAAAUGGAUUCUCAUUUUAGAUGAUUUGUGGAACAAUUUUGAACUUGACAGAGUGGGAAUUCCUGAGAAGUUGAAAGAAUGCAAGCUGAUUAUGACAACUAGAUUAGAAAUGGUUUGUCAUCAGAUGGCUUGCCACCGUAAAAUCAAAGUGAAGCCACUUUCUGAUGGAGAAGCUUGGACUUUGUUCAUGGAGAAACUUGGAUGUGACAUAGCACUUUCGCGAGAAGUGGAAGGGAUUGCAAAAGCUGUUGCAAAGGAAUGUGCUGGUUUGCCGUUGGGAAUUAUUACAGUAGCAAGAAGCUUGAGGGGAGUGGAUGACCUACAUGAGUGGAGAAAUACAUAGAAGAAAUUGAAAGAAUCAGAAUUUAGAGACAAUGAAGUAUUCAAGUUAUUGAGGUUUAGUUAUGAUCGGUUAGGUGAUUUAGCACUACAACAAUGUCUCUUGUACUGUGCAUUAUUUCCUGAAGAUAAAUGGAUUGCAAGGGAGGAGUUGAUAGGUUAUUUGAUCGAUGAGGGGAUAACUAAAGUAAAGAGGAGAAGGGGAGAUGCAUUUGAUGAGGGCCACACGAUGCUUAAUAGACUUGAAUAUGUCUGCUUAUUGGAAAGUUCUUUUAAUCAUAUACAUGUCAAGAUGCAUGACUUGAUUAGGGACAUGGCUAUCCACGUACUGCUAGAGAACUCUCAAGUCAUGGUUAAAGCAGGUGCGCAAUUAAAAGAGCUGCCAGAUACAGAGGAGUGGACGGAGAACCUGACGAUUGUUUCACUAAUGAAGAACGAGAUCGAAGAAAUUCCUUCCAGCCAUUCACCAAUGUGUCCAAAUUUGUCAUCUCUAUUUUUAUGUGAGAAUAAAGAGCUGCGAUUGAUUGCGGAUUCAUUUUUCAAGCAAUUACAUGGGCUCAAGGUCCUCGAUCUGUCUCGCACAGGUAUUGAAAAUUUGCCAGACUCUGUCUCUGAUUUGGUGAGUCUCACUGCAUUAUUGCUCAAUGAUUGUACGAGAUUAAGACAUGUUCCAUCAUUAAAGAAGCUCAGGGAACUAAAGAGGUUGGAUCUCUGUGGCACUGCACUUGAAAAGAUGCCGCAAGGAAUGGAAUGCCUAACCAACCUGAGGUAUCUUAGAAUGAAUGGAUGUGGUGAAAAGGAGUUUCCUAGUGGGAUAUUACCAAAACUCUCUCACCUGCAAGUCUUUGUACUAGAACAGUUUACGGCGCGAGGUGAUGGUCCAAUAACAGUUAAAGGAAAGGAAGUAGGAUCCUUGAGAAAUUUGGAAAGUCUGGAGUGCCAUUUCAAAGGUUUCUCUGACUUCGUGGAGUAUCUCAGAUCUUGGGAUGGGAUCCUAUCAUUAAGCACAUACAGAAUUUUAGUAGGAAUGGUGGAUGAAGAUUAUUCGGCAUACAUUGAAGGUUAUCCGGCAUACAUUGAAGAUUAUCCAAGUAAAACAGUUGCGUUGGGUAAUUUGAGUUUCAAUGGAGAUAGAGAUUUUCAGGUCAAGUUCUUAAAAGGCAUUCAAGGACUGAUUUGUCAAUGCUUCGAUGCAAGAAGUUUAUGCGAUGUUUUGUCAUUAGAGAAUGCAACUGAACUGGAGCGUAUCAGAAUUGAGGAUUGCAAUAACAUGGAGAGCUUGGUUUCAUCUUCUUGGUUCUGCUAUGCUCCACCACCAUUGCCAUCAUAUAAUGGUACGUUUUCUGGUCUUAAAGAGUUUAAUUGUUGUGGAUGUAACAAUAUGAAGAAGUUGUUUCCACUUGUGUUGCUGCCAAACCUCGUAAACCUGGCAAGGAUUGAUGUUAGUUAUUGUGAGAAAAUGGAGGAGAUAAUAGGAACAACAGAUGAAGAAAGCAGCACCUCCAAUCCCAUCACAGAAUUAAUACUCCCAAAGUUAAGAACUCUGAAUUUGUGUCAUUUACCAGAAUUGAAAAGCAUUUAUAGUGCAAAACUUAUUUGCAAUUCUCUUAAAGAUAUUAGGGUAUUGCGUUGUGAGAAGCUGAAGAGGA
rnacentral:lncRNA from 1 species